CGUCUGGCUGGAAAGGUCCAGCAGUCGUCAUAGAUGGGACUCUUUAUGUGUUGGAUCAAAGUUCAGGACUAAGGCUGAUGAAGUGGCAGAAGGAAAGCAAGGAUUGGGUGGUGGUUAAGAGACUGUCACAGCUAUUAACUCAACCUCCUUGCCGACUAGUUGCAAUUGGCAAGAGAUUAUUUGUCAUAGGGAAGGGGCUUAGCACGCUGGUGUUCGAUGUGGACCAGAGUGAAAACGCAGGAAGAAUAAUGGUAGGAUCUUCCAUAUCCAAGUUGACUUCUGAUUAUGAUGUAAUUAGCUGUAAAGUUGUAGCACUAUAAAGUUGCUCAGGCUCAUUUAAAUUCUUGUUGGAUUGUGAUUUGACUCCGAAGGCCCCCGUUUUUAUGAUGUUUGUGGUCAGUAAAUAUGUUGGGUUGUUCUUUCUGAGAAUGGACGCCGAAGAAGUAAAUGUAUAUCACUUUUGUAAAUAUGAACAAGGUUGUUCCUGCUACAUUUGUUGACAUUUUAGAGAAAUGGAUAGCGGUUUUCAUGAAAACGCUGCUCUGAUCCAUCCUGCAUUUCCAAGGUUUCACAAGUUGUCGUUGACUAGUAGUAACAACCUCACGAGAGAGAGAUUCCGACCCAAAAUCUAAUACACGAAUUGAAUACAGGUGAUUGAAAAUAGCGCGAAAAAUUAUGGUUUUUUAGGGGGUGAAUGAUAACCAUUUUGUUUCAAAAAUAGGUUCUGGAAGAGAAAUAUAUUUUUUUAUUUAUUUCUAUUUUUAUAAGAGUUUUUAAGCAAAAAUAACCGUUUGAUAAUGACAAAAUUUAUACUUUAAAAAUAGAAAUUCGUUUGAUAACGAUACAAUUUUUUUUUCUUUUUGGACGGCGGUGGACCGGCGACCAGCGGCAGCAGCAGGCAACCUGCGACCGGUGGCGACCGGUGACCGCCGGCAGCAGCUGGCUAUCGGCGGCGGCGGCGGCGGCGGCGGCCAGCAAACGGUGGUUGAUGGCGGUCGACGGCGACAGAUGAAGAAUCGGUUGACGAACGAUGAGAAGAAUUUUUAUUUCUCAUUUCUAUUCCAGAAAUAGAGAAGUAGAAAAUUUCUACUUCUGAUUUCUAUUUCAAACCUAUUUUAGAAAUAGAAAAAUGGAAUUGGUUUACCAAACGGAUUUCUAUUCUAGAAACAGGUAUGGAAUAAAAAAAUUAUUUUUGGAACAGAAACAAAGGUUUGUCAUGCACCCCUUAGUGGUUCCUACUUGUUUUUUGAUAGAGUUUGGUUCCCAUUGUUUUAUUUUUGGGCAUGAUGAACGUAGGGUAUUCAUUCACUUUGAUACAACUACUGAUUGAGAGAUGCCGGUACGAUAUUGACGUGAAGUUUGUCGAAAGAGGCCCUUCGUCUUCGUGCUGCUCUAGGAGGAAUUGAUCCGUUCAGAAGGAACAAAAGAAUUUUGAUUCAGAUGGAUUGUAACGCAUUCCGUGGGACGCGGUGACUGAACUUUUUAGAUGAAAAUGCCUACAAAAGGUACCUGCGUGACAUGCACGCAUGCUGGCCAGCUACUUAUCGAGCACGAAGAAGGAUAAAAGAUGAUAUGGUACAAAACUUGAAGAGGUAAUGACACAAAUAAUUUUUGAACUUUAAUUCAAUGUAGAAUAUAAUCCCUAAAUUUUUAAUUUGUAAUGUAUAAUAUGAUUCUUGAACUUUUCAUUUAAGUCUAUGUGUUCAAUUUAAUAUCUGAACGAUAUAAAGAUAUUCAAUGCUAUCCUUUCAUUAUAAAUAAUAUGGCAUAUUGAACAAAUGAAAAAACAAACGUCACAUGGGCCAAGGAUGAAAAAGGCCGCUGAGGCCGAGAAGGAAGAUAAGUAGUGAGGCCGGUUCAUUUUUUUUGGUUAAAAGGAUGUUUUUAAUGAGUAUUUAACGCGGUCAAUUUUCAGACGAUCUUGGUUUUUGAGAGUUUCAUCUGUAUUUUGACAUUUUUUUUUUAAUCUUCCGUGAGUUAGAAUUAUUUUUUUCUUUUGACGUCUCUCACCAUGCAUAUAUUAGAUUGCUGUUGGAAAUGGAAUUUAUGGAAAAAAUUUAGUGAGGCUUAUCACGUUGAUAGUGUCAAAGACUACAGUAUAAUUUAGCUAUGUUUCGGGUGUGCAUUUCGACUGCAUCCAUUACGAACAUAUCGUAAUGUUAAUAUUACCAAAGCACAAUUAAUGACUAUUGACGAGUGCCUUAGGGGUACUCUUAACAUUUUUCAAACGAAAAUCUCCCAAAGAUAUUUGGGUAGAUCAACAUCAAAUGCAUAUUAGUAAUUUGAAGAAAAACAAUUCUUUCUAUUGAUUUGCUGAUGGAUUUUACUAAUUAAAUCUGGAUUUUGGAAAUUGGAGACCGAGGCCCAUUAGUGUUGUCCGUUCUUUUAUUAAAAGUCAUGACCGGCAAUCGCACCGGCGGCCAGUGGAAAUAUCUAUUCAAGUAAGUCAAAGCAGUAAUGGAAAUCAACUAUCAUAGAAGCAGUUUUAUUGCGGGCCGAUCAAAAUUGAAUUUUGUGGGACUUUGAUGUUACAUCUAACAAAAAAACUAGCAAGUUGCCCCACUAAUUUAUUGCGGUUUGUCUUCAUCUAUUCUUAUCGUUUAAGACUUGGAUGUUGGUGUUAAAUUGAUUUGGCUAAGGACAAUCCGUAAGAGUAAAUUUUUUUUUUUUUUACAUGGUUGGCUAUAAUGCUUCGUUUAGGUGCGCAACCAUUCAUGAUAACCUCAUCUAAGAGUCAUGUGACUCGGAUAUGGUUCAUGAUAUAAAUAAAAUGUAAAUGUGAAUUAUGCAAGUAGUACUUUUAUUUUGGAAUUGGGGUCAACAUCUUAUUUUCAAUGCGGCAAAGAAUUGAAUAGGGUAGUUAAAGUUCAAGUGUCAACAAAAUACAUAAAAGCUUUAUGUGACUAAGUGAAUAUAUUUUUAGCCCUAACUUGAGAAGUAUCUAUGGACUCGACCCAUUAUUUAUGUUUGCAUUUAUUUCCACACUUUUAAAGUUUCUUUAUUGGUCUAUGCACUAAUGACUUGAAGCUUGACUCAAGCGAAAGAGUAUGAUUACUUCCAACUUAAAAUAGGGGAGAGAACAGUUUUUAGAUUUUUUUAAUAAGAAUGGCGAAAAAAUAAGUAAAAAGAGGAGAGACAAAAGGGUACUAUUUAGACCGAUUAAUGACAUGAGUGAGAUAGAUUGAAUUUGAACUCACGAAAUAUAUUUAGAAGUAGGAAUUACUAAGGAAAUAGGCAAUGAUCUAUAAGAUUUCAGAAAAGACCUUUGCUUUCAAAAUUUGUUUUUUGAAAUUUAAGUAUUAUUUAAUGACACGAGUGAGAUGGAUUGAAUCUAAACUCACAAACUUGGAAAUAAGAACAUUACAAGUGUCAUAAUUUAUGUACUGUUUUCACUUAAGUACCAUAACUUUCAUUCAAUCACUUGCCAAAACUUUUAAAAAACGUUAACCCAAUUGUCGAAAAUCUGACAUGGCAUGACACUUGGUGAACGUUUAAAAAAAAUUAUGAAACUCAAGUUAUUGAUUAAAAAAUUAUAUGAUACUCAAGUGAUUAGAAAAAAAACCAACGGCACACAAAUAAGUGCCACACUAAAAUUAUGGCACUCAAGUGAUAUAAAAAAAAAGUUAUGAUACUCAAGUGAGUACCAUACAAAAGUUAUAGCAUUUGUAGUGUCCUUAAUUUAGUAUAUUACACUAUACAACAUCAAUGAAAAGUGACCCGGACCAGAGCUGAACGGCCUCUACAAAUCCCAAAGCAAGAGAAAUUCAAGAGGAGAGAAAUGACACGGACGGGAGAGGAGACAGAGAUUCGGAGACAUCGCAUCAUGCAAGCGGGAGCUAUGAGCAUUGCCGGACACCAGGAUUGAACCGCCGGAGCUGGAAGCUGCCAUCGUCGAGAGAGACGGAUAAGAUCGAACAGAAGAAGAGAAGGGGGAGGGGGCGGAAGAGAAGGUGUUGCGCUAAGCUCAGGUGAACUUCCAGACAGGUUGGAAUUGUGCUGGAAACUCGACCCUCAUUUUUCCCUUUUUUACUAGAAAAUAUACGUCAGCACGAGCCACGAGCACGAUGAGCAAGCGACGCCAAGACGAAGGUCGACGUCCUUUCUUGGGCGAGGGGAGGGGCUGGAAUCCGGAGAGAAAUGGGCCCGCUACGUAAUGGGCCUUCAGCCCGCGAUUGGGCCACCUAAUCGAAUCCCAGGCCCGGUCUCGUAAUGGGAAACUGGCAAUUGUCCCUUUACAUCUGUCGGCGGGGGUGCCCAAAUGAAAAAAAAAAAAAAACUGGAAUUGGUCGAUUUUAUUUAUUAUGAUGUGGCUAAAACUAUGUCAAGGAACGACUUGGAAGAUAAAGGGUGUUCCACGUUUAUGAGCAUGUGAAACGACAGUCACAUAUACUCGUAAAUAUAUGGUGAUGGACUGCCGUAGAAAGCAUUUGAGAGUUGAGAUUGUUGUACUUUAGCUUUUCCCGAGAUAUUUGUUUAGUUGAUUUACUCGUGUGUCAAAUUAUGGGUGGAUAACUUAAUUAUAUUUACAAAAAAAUAAAAAUAAUAAUCUAAUAUAUUUUAUAUUUGAUGAGUAAUCAGCCCUAUAAUGAGGAGUCGAUGCCAUACAAGAUAAUUAGCGACGGAAGUAGGAAACGCGGGGAGGAAAACGUUCAUAGUACAAAACAGGGAAAAUAAUGAGGGGACCAUAUUUUUGUUUUGUUCAUACUGCUUUUUGGUAAGAUUUCGUUUUCAGUGGAGAAGCUUUUGUAGGCAAUGAUAAGCAAUUUGAGCGUCGAAAUUUCAUUUUGCUUGGGCGAUUCAUGCACUAGACACAUCUGAAAAGAUGCUGGCACUAAAUUUUGUCUAUAGACCCGUGCUUUGCAUGGCCAAAGUCUUGAGAUGUGGAUUGAUAUUGAAAUCAUUAUUCUAGAAGUAAUACUUGAUCUGUUGAUAUGACGGAAUGGUGAAACUAAAUCAUUUGUGUUCACACAAUGUUGUCCAAACCACAUUUAGAUAAUACAAGAAUAACCUAACGUUCUCAUGCCGUGACUGAUGGUUCGGGUGCAAUCAUGAUUGCAUAAUUGGUCCACUAAAAUGGCAUCUCAUUUAUUUUUCCACAUAUAGGCCAAAAUUGAAAGACCCACAAAGACUUUUGCCACUUUGAAUUGACAAACAAGGGUCAUUCUAUAGUUUUUUUUUUCAAAAAGUUAAUGUUUUAACAUAUGAUUAUACUAAUCAUUCACGAUCCAUAAAAUUAUUGAAUACAAUACGUAUUUGAUCUUUGUCUUAUCUCUAUUUAGUUGGUUCAGAUGGCCAUAAAUUUUCUACUUUCCUUGUAGAUUGGGCUUAAACCUUAAGAUCUCCCAACAAAAUGAACUAAUUGAAAUGCACAAAAGCGCCUUUGGAUACCACUUCACCGCUAAAUUACAAAAAAGGAAAGUUACGUAGGAGUGAUCAUUAUGGGUUUUGUUGGUAGAACUCAAAAGUCAAGUUGCAAAGCCGAAACUUACAUUAGGAGGCGUGGUACAAAAGAAUUGCUAUACUUUAACCUCUUUUUUUUUAAACUUUUCUUUUUAACCAAUAGAUAUACAUAAACAAGUAGGGUACUGGCAAUUUUGUACAAGAUUACAUUGAGAAGAUGUGUGUGACGUGCAAAUUGACGCAGCCACCCCAAAUUCUCAACUAGAGGAAGACUUGGAAGACGACUUUCGAGUCAAGAGCCUGGUUGGGUGGUCACUUUGGCCCCACUUUUUUUUUUUUUGUCAGUUCUACUCUACUCCUACGCUAACUCUCACUCUCAGACUUUUGCCUUGCCUCAUUGCACGAUGUAAAAGUCAAAACCCACGCUUGAAACUAAAUUGUCCUCACCCCAACCUUCCUUGAGAAGGUGGGGAUUCGAACCCCCCACUCUCUCUUCCAUUUUGGAAAUGUGGCCACUGGGCUUUGGCCCCACUUGGAAUGGAACAAUAUUCCUAUGUUCCAUAUGUAACUUGAUUUGUUUUGUUUAAUGCAAUUAUGUUAUUCUCCACCUCCAUCCUUGUCCCACCUUGCGAAGUGCGGGGCAAGGUUGGCUAUUAGAACGAUGAGGAAAAGGAUUACAUUUUUGCCAGUUCAUUUAAUAAGAACAACAAAUAGAUAUGGCAAACGAGGAGAGAUACGUUUGUAAUUUACUAAGUUGGUACCAAUAAAUGACAUUAGUGAUAGAUUGAAAAUGAUUCACAAACUUGUAAUUAGAAGUAGGAAUUACUAAUAAAAAGUCAAUGAUUUAUAAGAAUUUAGAAAUGACCUUUGCGUUUUUUAAAUAUAACAAUUAUUUAAUACUGAACAGUGAGUUUUUUUUUUAAAACCUACAUAUACAAAAUUUUAACUUCAUUUCAAAUCACUGCAAAGUUUUUUUUUAUAGAAUUUUGUGAUGACGAAACACAUUUUUACCAAAUUAUCAAUUAUGAGAAAAAAAAAGUUCAUAUGACUCAACAUGUCACAAAGAUAUAGAAUAACCUGUUAUGCGCAUGAAAUGGAAAGUCCAAACACGACAUGCUAAGUUGGUGUUAUGAAAGGUUUGAUGAUUUCUUUGAAAAAAAUUGUUAUGCUAUUGCACGUUGAUUUUCAGUAUAGAGCGGAAUAAAACCUGCUCUUUCCUAUUUGUUUUUGAGUUUGAUAAAUGCAUUGCUUAUCAAGUGAGGGUGAUCCUCCGUGACCUAUUGAUUCAUAAAGAGCAUGUGGCGGGCUUCUCCAUGCUUAAUAAAGGGCAUGUCUUAGAACACAAAUUAAUGAGAUUGUAAAGUUAUAGGCUAGCUUGUCCACAUGAAACUUUGGCUAGGAAGUUUCGGAUCCACGUUGUACCAGGGAAAAAAAAGAAAGGAAAAAGAAAAAAAAAAGGUGGAUUUAAAAAACUUGCUUGGAAUUCCAAGAUGAGCGAUGUGAACAUCCGUCCACUAUCUCUUGAAGGGAAAAUUUGACCCUUAAUUUUUGUGCUUUCUUUGGUUAAGGUCUUUUCAACUUUCAAUUUAUCUAAUCAAAUUUAAUCCCUAGAACUAAUUCUAAUAAAUUUAAAUUGACGUGUCUGUCGGACCGUUUUAGAGUACGAAGUGGGAAAGACAAACUUGCUUUUGCGGACUAGUGUCAAAAAGCGUUUCCUCAAAUGAAUAUAUAGGUUGAGUAUAAUAAUUCAAUCCACACCAAGCUUCUAUGAAAUGCCAAAACGCGCGUCCUUAUUUUCAACCUUCAAAAGACAUAAAUUUUGAUAAGUUCAAACAUAGUAUUUUUUUUCCUUUACAGUCAAGUUCAUGUUCUUAGAAUUUAUCUAAUCAAGUCUUUAAAUUUGCAUAAUUUUUCUAUUCAACCAUGCCAAUGUUCGAGCACACAAGUCAAUGCCAAAAUAUGAGUCCUUAAAGAAUAUUAAGUUUGAGUGUAAUUUAUUUAAUCCACAGGCGAAACUACAUCAAAUACCAAAACGCGUUUCCUCCGCUUUGUUCAAAAGACACUUUAAAAAAUCAAAAGAAAGUUUCGUCUAGGAAGCUUUUUCUUCUCCCGUCGUACAAGGGGUAAAAAGAGAUGGAUAAAAAAAUAAAAAAUAAACAACUUUUGACUAUAAAACUUGCUUGGACUUCCAGAAUGAGCAGCGCACCGUUGUUUUGGUCCACCAUGUGCGAGCGGUAAAGUUUUACUUUUCCUCCCUUAAUUUACACUUUUUUUUCAAUCGAGUUCUUGAACUUUUAAUCCAAUUAAUCAAUUCCUUAAGCUUGCAUAAAUUUUUUAAUUGAGUUUGAUCUUUGGCACUAGUUCUGAUAAGCUCGAUCUAAUGCGGCAAUUAAAUCAUUUUAGAGUAUGACGUGGAAAAAAAUUAACCUCCACAAACAAACCACCAUGGAAAAUAAUGUAAAUGUUUUCCUUUAUGGAAAUGCCACAGUUAAAUUGUUUGCCUCCACGUACAAGGCGUUGAGAUAAAGAAAAGCUUCUUAUUUUAAGUCAUCCUCCGACCUUAUCCGAGGGUUGUGUCAACGUAAAUUGAUUGCAAUUGGUGUAGUUUCCUGAAAAAAUUAUUCUCUUUGGGACACGAGGUCACAUACUAGUCUCUUGUGUUUUCCUUUUUGGUUUAUUCCGGCAAUACAUUGGGGUAAUCUCUUGGAACUAUUAUCGGUAGAUGUCAUUUCUUAGGUUCAUUUCCUAAUACAUCACUGGGUAUUUUUUUCAGCUUUGCUUAUUUGGAGACACAAUGAAUAAUUGAAGGUUCAAUGGCGGUGGCACAAAUUAUGUAAUGAGAGAGGCCUUUUGUUUCGCUAAUGUUCUUCAUUCAUCUAGGAAUGACCCCCUUGGAUUUAUUGAAGGACAGGUCUAAGUACUCUACUCUUCUCAAGUGGCCAAAUUCCCCUGGAGAUCCAUCGACUAAUGUUCAAAAAUUCUUCUUGACUUGGGUAAAUGCUAGAAGGCCAGAAUCCACCUUUAAGACCUUCUUGAUCACUAAAUGAAGGGACGUAAAAUUGAUUUCAUUGAUUGAAGGUUCAAAGAACCUAAAAAAGAAGCUGCAUCUUUGGGCAGCUCAACACUUGAUGGGGAAGCGUUAUAUCAACGCUAGUGGUUAGGUUGGUACAACUGGUCUAUAAGGAAGAAAAUUCUUUCUUGAGGUUUGUCAAGUUUCUUUUUUUCUUUUCUUUUCUAUGUGAAAAAGAAAUGGGAAGGGGACCGUACAAUAAUACUGGCAAUGAAUGGCAAGCACGGCAUGACAAAAUUUUCAAUUUCCACGUGAAUGUUCAAUUAUAGCUUUUUGACAAAUGAUGCCUCAUCUAUGCUUGGACUCUGGAGUCUCCCCGUCAUUUCCGAGAAAGUAUCGUCUGGCCUUUGCAUAAGUAGAUCAAAGUCAUCCCCAUCAUGGAUCACAUCAGCCCUUCGGUCAAGUCUUCCAGUCAAGUCUUCUUCUUCUUCUUCUAUCAUCUGGCCUUUGCAUCAGUAGAUCAAAGUCAUCCCCAUCGUGGAUCACAUCAGCCCUCAAGUCUUCCGGUCAAGUCUUCUUCUUCUUCUUCUAUCAAAGUCAUCCCCAUCGUGGAUCACAUCAGCCCUUCGGUCAAGUCUUCCGGUCAAGUCUUCUUCUUCGAGUUAGAGAGACAUGAGUCCACAAAUGGGCUUAUAGAUGGAGAUACGCACAGGCUAUCCAUAUGGACGAACAAACAACUAUGAACAACUUCUACACUUGAAAUUUACCCUUGAAGUUAUGAGUCAAAUCAAAGGACAUGAACAAUUACCUGGAAGCUUGUCGCCAAUUUCCAAUAUGUCGCUGAAAGAAAAGAAUGAAUACUUUUAAUAAAGUAUGAAAUAUAGAUAAAAAAAAAAAAAAGAGAAUGCCAAGCCCCUGCUGCUCUCGGGCCCUACAUAAUGAAAGAAAUGUUCAUGCGCCUAACAUCCUGCAGUCUUCAAACCCAUACAGAAGGCAUACCUAAAAUCAGUUUAAAGUAUUGGGGUCCAGCACUACGAAUGGCCAAAUAGCAAGAUAAUUCCAUUGCCAGAACCAAUUAGAACAUGAAUUGUAGAUAGAAGUUACCUCAAAAUAAGAGAAAUUAUUUCACCCUUGGAAAUUAUGUGGACGCUUGCUUUGGAGUUUUGUCCGGUCAAAGAAGAACUUAAUGUACUGUUUUUACUGUGAUUUCUUUCGCUGUCUAAUGUCUCUUAAUAAUGGCUAAUGAAAGCUUGAAGAAUAGCAAGUUUUUACCCUCUUCGUAGCCCUCAGUUUAGUGUUGCAGUCUUGAAUGAGGUGUGCGACUUAAGAUUUUUCCAUAAAAUCAAUGUCUUCAUGUUGCCCCCUUAUAGAGCCGUAUCUGCUCUUUUUAUAAAUUUGAAUCAAAAAGAAAGGUUUACGAAAUGAAAACAUGAACAAAGAUAACACUAAUGCAGCAUAAAAAUAAAACUAAGCCAACCUUUUUGCAGAAAAGUUAAUUCAAAAACAAUAUGGAUUAUAGGUAGCAAAAAUACAUUAGAUUGUUAAGAAAUUUAAUCAUGGCUCAUAUAUAUUUUGUUCACAUACAUGCACACGCACAUAACUCUCUCUGUUUCUGUUCAUUUGUGCACAUGCGCACAUACGACUUUUUUUUUCCUCUAUGCCCUGCUUUUAUCUAAUAAAGGUGCAGUACCCACUUAUUUCAAAGUCUUUAUUUGAUUAUUCUGAGUGCACAUCCAUCUAUGUCAAUAAUAUAAUUUGAUCUUUCAUCUUUUUAUGUUCUGAUUGUGUUGAUAUUUUUUUCGAUACUUUUAUGUUAAAUUAGGCGUUUCUCAUUUCACACUUAAAACAGAUGUAUAGGUGAGUUUAAAAUUAGAGACACAUGAGCCCACCUAUAAAUGGCUUAUUGAUGGAAGUCUGCACAAGCAACCCAUGUUGUUGAACAAACAACUAUGAACAACAUAUGUACUUGAAAUUUAACUAUGAAGCUAUGAGUCAAGUCAAACGACAUGAACAAUUUACAUGGGAGCUUGUUGCCAAUUUCCAAUAUGUCACCAAAAGAAACUGAUGGAUUCUAUAUUAAAAGUAUGACAGAGAAAUAUGGAUAAAAGGAGAAUGCCAAGCCACUGCGCUUGUGCCCUAUUUAAUAAAAGAAAUGUUUAUACGUCUAAGAUUCUGCAGUUUUCAAACCCAUACAGAAGGCAUACGUAAAUCAUUUAAAGUUCUGAGGUCAAGCACGAUGAAUGGCCAAGUAGCAAGAAAUUUCCAUUGCCAGAACCAAUUGUUGCUGCCUAUAAAAACCUUCUACGUUGCACUCUCCCUCGAAAACUCACUUCAGUAACCAAAAUAAUAGAAACAAAAGCAGAAAAUAUGGCAGCCUUAUCAUUAUAUCUGCUGCUUACUUGGAUAUUCUUGCUGUCUCUCUUUCGUACUAGGUUUGCUGAGGUACUUUGUCAUGCGGAUGAGAGCUCUGCCUUGAUGGAAUUCAAGAGAAGUUUCAGAACCAACACGAUAGAUCGGCGAUGCAUUCAUCCAAAAGUCCAUUCUUGGUCACUGGAUGGAAGUGGAGAUUGUUGUUCAUGGGACGGCGUCGAAUGUGAUGAAGUCACCGGCCGAGUGAUCGCCCUCAACCUCAGUAGCAGUUGUCUCUCAGGCACCAUGAGUCCUAACACCACUCUCUUUCGACUCGUUCACAUGGAGUCGCUCAAUCUCGCUUUCAACAACUUCAACUUCUCCUCAAUUCCGUACGGCUUCGGCAAUCUUUCAAAGUUACAAUACCUCAAUCUCUCCCACUCCGAAUUUUCCGGUGAAAUCCCUCGUGAUAUCUCGCAACUCUCCAAGUUAGUUUCUCUCGAUUUGUCCUCUUCUUCGUCUGAAACACUUCAUAUGCCCAACAUGGGUGGCUUCGUUCAUAACUUGACCGGACUAAAAGAACUUGAUCUUUCUUCGGUAAGCUUGUCAUCACCUUUCCCACCUAUGCUAGCGAAUUUCUCUUCCUUGACAUUGCUUAGGCUAGCAUAUUGUGAAUUGAGUGGAAACUUUCCGGUCAGCAUUUUCCAGCUGCCAAACUUGGAAGUCCUUUCGGUUUUUGACAAUUCCAACCUUUCUGGGUUUUUUCCCAAACUGCACUGGGGUUCUCCAUUGAAAUCCUUAGACCUUUCCUGGACCAACUUCUCGGGAGAAAUACCCACUUCAAUUGAAAAUCUUAGUCUCUUGAAUGAGUUAAGAGCCGAGUUUUGCUAUUUCUCCGGAUCGCUUCCCUCUUCAAUGGGUAAUCUUUCUCAUCUCACUAUACUAGACCUUUACAGAAAUAACUUGCAAGGUCAAAUCCCUGUUUCCUUUGCUAAUCUUACCCAGCUAUCGGAGAUAUGGCUCUCUUACAAUAACUUGCAAGGUCCAGUCCCUGUUUCCUUUGCUAAUCUUACCCAGCUAUCAGAGCUACAGCUCGCUUCCAAUAACUUGAGCGGUGAUUCUUUGGAGUGGGUGGUCAACUUGACAAAACUCACCGGCUUGGACAUUUCAGGUAAUAGUUUCUUUUUGGUUAUAUUAAGCGCAAUUGUGACGUCAUGUCAUCUAUGCACUAGCCCACUCAAUGGAGGACAAGUGGCAUUAUGGGGGUCCCACCAUCAUAAGUCUCUCUUUGCCGGUUCGAACGGAUCUCUUUCCUCCUCCAUCUACAACUCCAUGGAACUCGAUCUCUCGAGCUCCGUCGCUGCUUGAUCCCACCCCGACCAUGACCAAAACCCCCGCUGCGACAGCCGCGAGCAAAACUACCAUUGCCGCCUCAAGAGCUUCGAUUCCGGCAAGGGCCUGAGCUGGAAGGCCUUCUAGCUCGACAAGUUCAGCCAGGUCCUGAACCACGACCAGCUUCUUCAUCAACUUCUUCUCCCUCAACUUCCUCAAUUUUUUGACUGAAAGAAAAAAAAAAAACUUCCUCAAUUAAUCCCCCGGGAAGUCGUGAUCUUGAUGGUCGGAUCGACGUGCAUCUCGUCCUCCCGCAACCUCCUCAAAUCCCUAAGUUUCAGAUUGACUUUCCCACUGUACCCGAAGAACUCGGCCUACGCGCUGAUCGAACACGCGAGUGGUGGCCAUCGAUGAAGCCCGAUUUCGCCAAUCAGACGAACUACUCGAUGACGUAGUAUGUCCCCUCGCCGCCAUAGGCGAUGGGGGAGAGGAUCGGGUCCUGCCUAGAGUUGAGGUGCGAGGCUCGGAAAGCAUUCACGUCCUCGACAACUAGGCCAGCCGGAAGGCCUUUCGGCUUAGGCCGACGCUGGACUCGAAGCUCUUGAGAUGGCGAUGGAGGGUUAGGGUUUUGGGAAGGAGGGAGGAGGAUAGGAUGAUCUUUGUGGCAUACCUGGAGAUCUUGAGAGCAUUGUUGAGGUAGGCCUCGAGGCGGAGGAGGAAGUCCCUGUCUCUGGUUUUUCCCGUGGCCGUUGGCUGUUGCGGCAGGGGUUUUGGCGGUGGUCCGGGAGGGAGCGAGCAGUAGUGGAGCUCGAAAGAUCAGUGCAGAGAGGAGGAGAGCGAGAGAGACUUUCCGAUUUUUGACGGUGGGCCCCUCCAAUGCCUAUUUGUCUGAGUGGGCUAGUGCAUAAUGACUUUGAUCUAAUAUUUUCAGGCGAGGAGAUUAUUUAGCCAAAGAGAAAAAGGAAAUUGAAAUUGAUGGGGUUAACUAACGCUCUUUUGUCUUGUGUCUUUUUUUCUUUCUUUCUUUCUUUCUGUUUGGUAGGUAAUUGGUUUGACUUUUCUAGUGACAACUUGCACAAUGAUAUUCUGGGCCCAUUGCGGAAUCUAAAGGAUCUCAAUGUGCUUAAUCUGGAGUCGCUUAAUCUCAAUGGUGUUCUCGAUGUGAAUGAUCUAUUCGCACUCAAGAACUUGAGACGCUUAGUUCUAUCCAACAAUAACAUAUCUUUCACCAAGUCAUUCAUCAACGCCACUACGUCGAAGCUUAUCAACUUAGAGCUGGAUUCAUGCAACUUGACGGAGUUCCCACAGUUUAUAGGCUACUUGAGCGAAUUGGAGGGGUUAUACCUACAACACAACAGAAUUCAAGGGACCAUUCCUAGAGAGAUGUGGAACAAUAGCAAAGAAUCUCUCAGGCAUGUAGAUCUUUCUCACAAUCUUUUAACCGGCUUCGAAAAUAACCAGACCAAUCUUUCUUUGCCAAACUUGGACUAUCUUGACAUUAGUUCUAACUUGCUAAAAACAACCCUCCCUGUCCCACCUCCCUCGGUCAUCGCAUAUAACAUCUCCAACAAUUUCCUAUUUGGGGAAGUUCCAACAUCCAUAUGUGAAGUGAGCUCUCUUACCGUGCUCGAUUUGUCCAACAAUACUCUAAAUGGCACACUUCCUUCUUGUUUGGGAAGUAUUCAUCCUUUGAUUUUAUUGAACCUUGCGAGAAAUAAAUUCGAUGGCAUGAUUCCUCACAUUUACUUAGAUGAUUGUGCAUUGAGGAUGAUUGACCUCAGAGAAAACCAACUAAGUGGUAUUGUUCCGAGAUCUUUAGGAAAAUGCAUAAUGUUGGAGUAUUUGAAUCUUGGUGAUAACCAAAUUAAUGAUACGUUCCCAUUUUGGCUAUCGAAAUUGACCUACCUAAAAGUAAUUGGCUUGCGGUCCAAUAAUUUCCAUGGUCCCAUAGAAUCUAAUCUAAGCCAGCUCAACUUCACCAGUUUACACAUCCUCGACAUCUCCAACAACAGCUUCAAUGGCGAAUUUCCUUCCAACUUGUUGAAGAGUUGCCACGCCAUGAAGGGCAUGGUUGGUCAAGAUAAUUUGGCAUAUUUGGAUAUUUUUGAAACACUUCCUCAUGCUUCAUUCUAUAUAAGUACGACUUAUGCGAUGAAAUUGAUGAAUAAGGGCGUGAAAAGGGAAUAUGCGAAGAUUCCAAAUGUCCUCAUCGCAAUUGACCUCUCCAAUAACAAGUUUGAAGGGUUCAUUCCUGAACUCAUUGGAGAUCUAGAAUCACUUCGCAUGCUUAACCUUUCAAACAACCUCCUCAAUGGUAGCAUCCCUCCUUCCUUGGCCAAUCUAACAGUGCUCGAAGCACUGGAUCUUUCCCGGAACAAUCUUGUCGGAGAGAUUCCUCAACAACUAGCCCGCCUCACAUUUCUUUCAGUUUUCAAUAUCUCUCACAAUCUUCUAUCGGGACCAAUACCACAUGGAACGCAAUUUGAUACAUUCGAGAGUAGUUCAUUUGCGAUGAAUAAUGGUUUGUGUGGAAGCCCCUUGCCAAAUAAAUGCACAAAUGGUGAGGAUGCUCCACCACCACCAUCAUCUUUCAAAGUGGAUAAUGAAGAAGAGUGUCUCUUCAACUUGGAUUGGAGAAUCAUGCUGGUUGGUGCCGGAGUCGGGUUUUCGGUUGGUAUUGUGAUAGAGAACUUGAUCAUUGACGAGAAGAGGAUGUGGUUCUUGUGCUGCUCCAAGAAAAUGGCCAAAGGAUGGAAAAAGAUGAGGAAAGCUCUGGCAGACAAGAAAUUAUGUAGCUAGAUAUUUAAUGCUUUGUCUUUAAGUAGAUCGUUGAGAAAAGUUAUACAUGCAUAUGUGAAGAUUCCGAUCUAUGUUUAUUAGCUAUAGUAAUAUGGAGAUGUUGUUUUCUUGCUCAUGAAAGUUAUAAUUCUUUUGAAGAUUCUAACCUGUGUCUGUCCAUAUAUGCAUCAGCAAUGAAUGAAUGUUCUGUUGUAAUAUAGAGACGUAAUUGAGAUGAGUAGAUACUAUUGAAAAGCCAAUUAAUAUACAUCGUGGACGGCAUUGUAAAAUAUUUCGUUGUCCAUGGAAACCAAGAAGAUUGGAAUAAAGGUUCUCCUGGUUCACAGGUAGAAAAAGCCUUGCUUUUGUUCAUUUGAAUGUAUAUUCGAUGGAACUCUCAUAACAGAGCAUUAGCAAUCUGUGUAGUGUCAAGAUAUUCAUGUCGGUUAUUUAUGUCAUUUUCGGUUGGUAGACCAAUGUUACACUAUGAUUGAUUACAAAUUGUUUCUUCUUUAAAAUGAACGAAAACAUGUCAAUUUCGAGUGUAGUCAUAUCAAGUUUGUGCUUUUCUUGGAAAAUUUGUAUUUGUGUUCGAGUCACCAAGGAGAUGCCACUUCCCAUGACAUUAGCUUGCAAUUUAAGUGAGUUACCAAGAGCUUUUGAAACUACUUUUUCUUUAAACUAAUAUGGUAUCCUACAUGAAAGAUAAUUUCAUAGAGAUCAUCUUAAGUUAAAUGUAAAAUUCUUCACUUAAGGAGCAUAUAAUUUAAAAAGUGAUUUAGUUUUAUGAGUAUAAACGUAAACACGAAAUCUAAAAAAUCAACGAUUUUAAAAGACUUUCUUGAAUUGAUCAUAAAAAUCCAAUUUAUAGGAUCCGAAUGAGCAAGCGCUAGGGAAGUCCCAUCUCUAUACUCGUCCCACCCCUGCUAAAGUGCGGGGAAAGGUUGGUUAUUAGAACGAUGAGAAAAAAGGAUUAUAUUUCUGCCGGCUCAUUUAAUAAGAAAUGACGAAAAAUAUGGCAAAAGAGCAGAGAUAAGUUUGUACUAAAUUAACGACAAUAGUGAUAGAUUGAAACUGACUCACAAACUUGUAUUUAGAAGGAGGACCUUUGUGUUUAAUUUUUUAAAAAUAUAACUAUUAUUUAAUGUUGAUUAGUCUGAAUGUUUAAAAACCUACACAUAUGAACUCUUACCAUUGGGAGGCCUUGAGGCGGAAGAAGCCCCGUGUCUUCUGGCAUGCUCUCGUCUGGAACAGUGCCAUCAUGCCUAGGUAUCAGUUCAACCUUUGGAUUAUGGCAAAGGGUAGGCUUCCUACCCAGGCUCUUCUACUGUCUAAUGGUAGGAUUGAUGGUGGAUCCUGUCCUUUUUGCAAUGAAGUGCCUGAUUAUAUGGACCAUCUCUUUUUUGGGUGUCGUGUCAUGGCCGACAUUGCUUUCUUUUGGGCGGCCAGAUGCAAUCUUCCUUGGCGCAACAGGUCUUGGGCUGAAAAUCUUCAUUGGGCCACUACCUUGCUGACGGGCAAGGAUUUUUAUAAGAGCAUUGCCCGUUUUUCUUUUGGGGCGUUUUGUCAUAUCAUUUGGAAGAACAUGAACAAUAUUCUCUUUAGAGAUGAGCCCCUUUCCGUCCCGGCCAUGAAGAAUUAUCUUUCCAAAGUUGUCAAAGACAAAGCUCUCACCUUCAGGAAUGUAGAGGAUUCUACUCGGAACAGGAGGUUGGUGUGCAACUGGGGUUGUGACCCAAUUAUCUUCUCUUCUAGAGAUCUUGAUCCUCCUACCUGAGGAUUCCUUAGUGCCUGGUGCCUCUUCUCAGUUUUGCCUCUCACUCAAGGUUGUUGCGGCCUCUGCGGGGGGGGGGGGGGGGGGGGGGGGGGGGGGGGUGUCUUUCCCUCAUGCCUGCUCAUUGUGUGCGUGUUGUAUCUAGCUGUCGAUUGUUUAUGCCGUGCCUGUGCUUCUAGUCUUUUAGGCAUUUAGCCUUUGCCGGUUGUCUCUAGCUAACGGUUGUCCUUGCCGUCUUUGCUCUUUCUUGCUUUCUCUUUUACAUCUUGGCAUCCUUCCACUCAUAAUGAUCUAUCUCAUCUUGAGUGUAAAUUUUUGGUGCCUCGAUCUUUUGUAAAGUUUGGUCUUGCCCCAAUAUACUAAUUAUUCCUACCAAAAAAAAAAAAACUCUUUAACUUUAUUUAAAAUCAUUGGAAAGGUUCUUUUUUUCUAUAGAAUUUUGUGAUGUUAGAAUACGUUUUUACUGAAUCAUCCUUUACAAAAUUAUGGGAAAAUUCAUGACUCUGAUAUGUCAUAGCGAUAUAGGAUAAUCUAUUACAAAAAUGAAUUGGAAAAUUCAAAUGCGACAUGUCAAGUUGGUGUUAUAAAAGGUUUGAUGAUUUCAUGAAAAAAAUAUUAUGCCAUUUCAUGUUAUUUAUCAAUAUAAGGAAAAAUGGUUUGAAAAGUCCUAAACUUAUUACACUUUUUUCCAAUUCGGUCAUAAAUUUUUUAACUCAUGCAAAUUGAGUUCUAAACAAUUUUCACGUUUUGUUAAUUAAAUUCAUUUUGUUAAUUUUAGCCGGAUAUCGCUUAUGUGGACGUCAUCCGUCCUAUAUAGCAUAGCUAGUGUGGACGCGGACAGAUUUUUCCAUGACCUAUCGAUUCAUAAUGAAAGUCACGGGCCUAUCCAUGCUUAAUGAAGGGCAUGUGAUAGAACAUAAAUUAAUGAAAUUUGUAAAGUAAUGGGCUGCUCCAUCCACGCGAAACUUUGGCUAGUAAAUGUUGGCUCCACGUUAUACUAGGGAAAAAAGAAAGGAAAGGAAAAAAUAAUUGAUUUGAAAACUUGCCAGGAAUUCUAAGAUGAACGGUGUGAAUCCACAAUCUCUUCAACGGAAAAUUCGACUUUUCGUCUCUUAAUUUAUGUGCUUUUUUCGAGUUAAGGUCUUGAACUUUCAAUUAAUCUUAAUCAAGUACAGCCCCUGCUAUCGCGACCUAAAUUUCGGGUGCACUACCUGAAACUAGGUUAAUGGAUUACUAAGUCUUUAAACUUAGCUCGGGCUCUCCCAAGCCCAUACCAAUUCGCGACUUAAUGUUCAAAUAUUUAACAUGCAAAAGAUUAUUAUCUAGGAGUCGCCACUAAUCGGUUUACGAUAGGUCGAUUAGACACCUAAGUAAAAUAAUGGGAGAAUUAUUUUACUCCUACGAACCAGAGAUUAAAGGUACGGGAACUUGGUUACACUAGAUUUCUCUAAUGCCCUUUUGGUACCAUUUCUUUUUAAUUUUCAAAAAUAUUUUUUGCAGGCAACUGAUUUAUUUUAACCUAAAUUACUAUCAUGAAAAUGUGGUGACCACACGGGUGCUCAUCCAUUAUUGAAACAUUAAAAUAAAAAUAAAAAAUAAAUAAAUUGCAUCACACAAAGCAAGCAAUCAUUUUUUUUUUUUGGGUUUUCUUAAAAUUGGAAUUUUUUUUUUAAUAAAGCAUGCAUUUUAACUACAUGACCUAACUUUACUAAUAAAAAAAUUCUAAUCAAAUGAUCCUAUUAUGCAAACUACUUAAUAUGCAUUUCAUAUUUUUUUGUAUUUUUCAGAAUUAAUAAAAACCCUAAUUAAACUAUCUAACAAAGGAUAAUUUUCUAAUUUAUUCUAGGGAUUAAUUUGACUUAAACCCUAUCCUAUCUUAGAAAACUAUUUUUUGAAAAAUGAGAUAAUUAAAAUGUGCGAUCAUUAUCUAAAAAAUUAAUUUAGGUGCAACCCUAACUUAUUUCUAAAAGUGCAACCCUAAAAAUAUAAUCCUAAUAAAAUUCUAAUUUACUAAACCUAUAUGCUCAUGCAGAAUUUUGAUUUUUUUUUUUUAUAUUUUCUGAUUUUUUUUAUAUUUUAAUUAGUAAAUAAAUAUUAAAUCUAAACUAUCAACAAAAAUAACGGAUUAAAAUAAUCGAAAAAAAAACCUGUUGUCUCAUAGGUCAAAUUAACGAUUAUUCUAACCCUAAUUAUCAUGACAAAGAUGUCAAAAUAAUUAAAAAUCUGAUCCGAAGUCUUACGGAUCAAAUUAAUAAUUAUAAUGAUUUAACAAUUAAAAUUCUAUCAAAAAGCUCAAAAAUUAAUAUAAUUAAAAAAAAAAUCCAAUAUCUCUCAGAUCAAAUUGAUAAUUAUAAUAAUUCCGGACAAAAUCCUUGCGGAUAAUGCCUACAAAAUGCACAAAUAUUAACAUUGACAAACCACGUUCUAACUUAAACAAUAAUAACGAAACUUAAAAUAGGUAAAAUAAAAUAAAAUAAAAAUAAACCACCUAAGGACUCAACGCUUCUCGCUGCUGGUGGAGCGGCUAUGACGUGGGCGCUCGAGCUGUGACGCGGGCGCUCUGGCGGAGGGGCGGCUUGCUGAACGGCGAGGGCGCGGGAUCGCGGCGACGCGGAGCCGGUGUAGGCACGGGUGAGGACGGACGCGCGGUGGUGAGUGGCGUGGAGACAGCGCGGGCUGUUGACGCGGGCGUCGGGGGUGACGAGCGGAUCGGCAACAGCAGGAGCGAGCAGAGGUCCAGGUGCAGGGGUGACGCGGGGGAGCUCGAGCAACGGUGACCGGCGCUGGGGUUGAUCGGCAGCAGCGGCGGAGCGGCGGUGGCGCGGCGAGUAGAUGUCGCGGGUGUCGCUUGUGGCCUCGAUUUGCAGGACGAUGGGCUACCGUGGGUGUCGGGCGCUGGUUGUCGCAGGGCAGCGGCGUUUGAACGGAGCGGAGGUGGCGCAGGCGUCGGCGUCGGCAGCGAGCUCGUGGGUGAGAGAGAUCUCCGGCGGCUGGUGGGACGCCGUGACCGACGCGGGGGGCGGAGCUGCGGACGUCGCCGGUGCAGGCGCGGGUGAGGCGGCGGGAGCAGCGAUGGCAGCGAACAAUGGCGUCGCGGGCUGCUGCAGGGGCGCGGAGGUGCGGCAAUCAGCUCGGGCUGCUGGCGAAGGGAGGCGUGGCUGCAGUGGCGGCACUCGAGCGAGCUGCUGGUGGUCGCUCAGGCGAGGGGCGGCGACCAGCAAGAUGGCGCAGAGGUGCUGGCCCGAACAGAUGCGCAGGCGGAAGCAGAGGGAGCGUCGGCAACUGCUGCGGGCGAGCGACGGAGAUGCUGUUGCGGUGCAGCAACGUCAGCGAUGUGGGUUCGCCGGAAGGAAAGGGGGCAGCCGCAGCGACGAUCGGGGUAGGGAGAGCGGCGGACGCGGGGAUGAGCAGUGACAAUGCUCGCGGUGUCGAGCGAAGGUGCAACCGCGGCGACGGUGCCCGGAGGCGGAGGCGCUCGGAGGCAGGGGCGUUGCUAGCUGCUGGGUCGGAAUUGCAGGUCGCCACGAGUGGCUGCUGCGACGCGGAGGCGGUCUGGGCGAACGGCGGCAGCAAGGAGCUUCCCCCCUCGAAGAAGAAGACCUGUUUUCCUUUUCCUUCUUUCUUUUUUUUUUUUUUACUCUUUUUCCUCACGAAUUCUCUCCUCAAGCUUUUCUUCUCUCUUUUCACGAAUUUUCCUCUCAAUUCGCCUCUGAAAUUUUUCGAAUUCACCUCCUUUUUCAUGAAAAAUGAGCAUCUCUUUUAUAGUAAUUCAAAAUGGUCUUUUUACAUGGCAUUUCCCGAGUUACCAUUUCUUGUCACAUUAAAUCAAAUCUGUAUGAUUUGGUAAUCAGCUCAAUUCUUGCCCAUUUUUCACUUGAUUUCAAAAUUGUUGUUGCAUUUAACAAAAUUCAGACAUCCAUCAGAAUUCCAUAUUUCCUUGCAUAAUUCAAUCAAAUCAGUUUCCCCCAUUUUCAUUUUUUUUCUUUUUAUUUGUUCAAAAUAUAAUUUUAUUUUUCCAAAAUUAGGUGUUAACACCUGCCACAAAUCCUAAUAAAUUUGAGCUGACGUCUCCGUCAAACCGUUCGAGAGUACGAAGUGGGAAAAAGAAGACUUGCUCUUGGGGACAAGUUAGUGCGAAAAUGUCUUUCCUCAUACUUUUCUUCCCUGAAUAUACAUACUCUUUUAGUUGAGCGAUUGAACAUUAACAUAUCUAUUCAGAUCCUUUAACUUUCAUAAUUUUUUUAGUCAAAUUUAACCUUCGAUACCAAUUUUGAUAAUUUUGAACUGAAGUGGUUGCAAGAUUACAUCACAGCAAGAUGUGGAAAAAAUUUGCCUUUGCAGCCAAGUCCACGCAAAAUUGGGUCAUUACAAGAUGUUUAGUUGACACGAGAAUUUGUGCUGAAAUGUCCCUCCUAUAUUUUCACCUUGUUCAAAAGAUAGAAAGGAACUAAUUGAAAUAAGUGAAAAUUCCAAAAGAACUCAAAGCGCCAUCAAUUUCUCAAAUAUGAGCCUAAAGUGAACCUUGUUUAGAGUUUGAAGUGCCCUUAUUUUCUCAAAUAAUAGCCUGAAGUGACCAUAUCGGUUUCAAAGAAAAACCUAACAUUACCGGCUAUUCAAGGGCAUUUUUGUCCUCUACGUUUUCUUAUUUUCUUCCCUUUUUUUAUUUUUUUAUUUUUUUUUUCUUUCCAUAAAAAUAACAAACUAAAAAAAGAUUAAAACUUUAAAAAAAGAAGAAGAGAAAACACAUAUUUGAAAAGAAAAAAAAAAGGCAGCCCUCUCGCCUGUGGUUGCCACCCCGUUGUUGAUGGGUCGUCGACCAUGGCUAGCAGGGUCACUAGCGCCUUGGUAAGGGAUGGCAAGCCUCGCCCAGACUAGGGGGAGGGCCGAUGACCCUCACCCAAAUUUGGGAGAGGGUUGCGGCUCCUUCCUAGCAAGCCCUCGCCUCUGGUUAGCAAGGGUUGCCAACCCUUAACAAGGCAUCGACGACCCUGCUACCCAUGGCAGAUGCUCCACGAGUGAUGAGGUGGCGACCAAAGGCGAGGGAGGGCUGGCAGCUCUACUACCUGUAAUUUUUUUUCCCAAUUUUAGCCUUUGUCUUUUUUUUUUUUAUUUAUAGUUUUUUAAAAAAAGAAAAAAGAAAAAAGAAAAAUGAAAGAAAAUAAGAAAAAGUAAAUGAUGAAAAUGCCCUUGACCAACUAAUAAAACCAGCUCCCCGGUGUUUGAAGUUAUGGUACUAGAGAGUAGGGGUGUGCAACAGGAACAAUCCAAAUUGGGAACUGCCUGAACCGGAACUGGACUAGACCGAUCAUCGAUUUUGGGCGAUUCCCAUGGGCGGCGGUCCAGUUUGCGAUUCCAAGGUGAGAAUCAGACUGACCAGACCGAUUGCAAUUGGAAUUGUAAUGGAGAUAACAACUUCACAUGUGUCCAAGAGGCCACCAAAAAUUUUAUUGUUCCUCUCUACUUAAAGAAGAAGUGCACUUGUUAGUUUCUUCUUCUAUUUGAUGCGGGACUAAGACUCCAAGAGCCACACUCUCAUUCCUUAUGCUCACACACACACACACACACACACACACUCUCUCUCUCUCUCUCUCUCUCUCUCUCUCUCUCUCUCUCCCCACUUGCAAGAGACAAGGUACUCCAAGCCUCCGAAAGUCUCACAUCGAGCAAAUACUCAAAGAUCAUAAGAGAGAUUGUCUAUAAAACCCAAGCCAAGCGUGACCUUUAAACAUAUCAUUCAUGGCCUUUUUUAUUAAGAUUGAGCGUGAAAUACAUGAAAUGCGAUCGAUGCUCACACAAGUGGAGUUUGAAUUUUUUACAUGUGGGAAAAAGUGCGAUCAUUUCUAUUGGACUACCAAGAGCCGAACUAGAUCAAUCGGUUCGGAGCACGGUCACUCUUCAGUAAAAAAAAAAAAAAAGUGGAAGGCCAGUUCCCGGUCCUAGGACCAAACGGGCCAGUCCCUAGUUCCCAAUUUUGGGAACUAGUUCUCUUGAUCUGGUUCCCGAUUUCACCUUGGAACUAGACCAGACUGGGAACUGAUCACCCUUACUAGAGAGCCAACUGCUCUUGAGGUCGAGGCCAAUGAUGUAAUCGGUUGUGUUGGUCCUGAUAUGCCUCUUGAGUAGCAUCAAGAGUGAGCUCUCUCCAACAUGGCAUGCUGGGUUAGCAAAGUGAGUAUGAAAUUAGAACACCGCGAUGAAAACGACCCAAGUAGAAGCAUGUGCAGUAUUGAGGUUGACAUGAUUAUGUUGUUCUCUUUGUGCUUUUUUAUUAGAGCGCGUAUGUCAGAGAGCAAGAAGAGAUUGCAAUGCCACUGCUCUUAUACUAGGCAAUUUUUGUGAAUAGGAAUUUUGGCGCUCCUUAGCCAUGCACGCAUACAUGGUAAAGGAUCUUAUUAUUAGGAGAUGGGUUUAUCAAGAGAAUUCCUAUGUUACUCUUGGGCUAUUCAGAAAAUGCUCAGCAUAUUGCCUCUUACUGCCUUUCCUUUAAAAUAAUUAAUUAAUUAAUUAAUGUCUAUAUGUAUAAGCAUAUUGAGGCAUCAUCAUCAUUAUUACUGCAGAAAGAGAGAAAUGGUCACACAUCCACAAGGUGGAAAUUUCAGGUUGAAUUUUCAUGCCGUGAUUGAUGGUUCAUGUGCAAUCAUGAUUGCAUGCUUGGUCCAUUAAAAUGGCAUCUCAUUUCCUUUUCCACAUAUAGACCAAAAUUGAGAGACCCGCACAAAGACUUUUACCACUUAUAGAUUGACAAACAAAAGUCAUUUUACAUUUUUUUUUUCAAAAAGUUAAUAGUUUAACAUAUGAUUGUCGUAAUCACGCAUUAUCCUUUUUCAAUACAAUACAUAUUUGAUCUUUGUCUUAUUUUCGAUCUAGUUGAUAAACUUGAAAUUGCUACCCAAAACCACCAAGGUGUUGGAAAAAUUUUGCCAGAAGUUUUCUCUUCUCCUUAUGAUCUUGAAUUCAAGUUUUAUUGGGAGCACCCUAGGAGUAAAAUUGCAAUCGUACCAAAUUGAUAUGAGGAAGUACAUUCUCAAGAUCGCCUAGAAAAAUAUGUAUAGUACUUCACUACCAAAUUACAAAAAAAAAAAAAAUGUUACAUAGAACUUGAUUUUUUUUUCUAGGGUUUGUUUGUUGAACUCAAAAGUCAAGUUGCAAUGCUGAAACUUAGAUUAAGAAGUUAGGUACAAAAAUAUUAUUAUACCCCACCUUUUGUUUUAACCCUUAGAUAUACACGCACAAACAGGGUUCUAGCAAAUCUUGUGCAGGAUUACAUUAACAAGAUGUGCGUGACUUGCAAGUUGAAGUGGCCGUCUCAAAUUCUCAACUUAGUGGAAGACUUGGGAGACGACUUUCGAGUCAAGGUAAGGUUGACAUCUUAUGCUGAACGCGGACUCAAUGAUGAAAUGCAAUGUCGACUUCACUUACAUGGCACACAUUCUAAUUAAUAGGUACAGCAAGUGCCUCAAAUUUUCCAAAGUAUUUCUGUGAUUAUUCCAUUCAUUGCUUUUAAUAUCAUUAAUCAUUGCGAUACACAUUUUAUUUUCCAAACCUUUAAUGGUUUCUUAUGAGGAAAGGAUCGAUUUGCAAUCAAAGAAGUGGAAUCACCUAAUUUACAUAUAGCAUAAACAAAUACCAAGUAUCGGGGCAUGAUCCAAUGAGAUUAACUCAACAGUUAAAGACUGAACAUAUGGUAUGAACAAUUUCCAUCUUCGGGUUAUCCACCUUAGUGUUGAAUCAUUUUAUUACUUAGUCCAUACAUACGAGUUCCAUGCAUUUGCGAAAUAUUUAUCUAUGAUGUACAUCAUUGUCAUGGAAAAGGGAGUACUAAGGAAAUGCUAGUUCAUUCAUUCUGCUUUAUAAGAAUGAGUGAGUUGGACCGAGACCAAAUUGAAAGACUAACAACUUGUUCAAAUCGUUUUAGUCCUCUUCAAAUGGGCUUUAUAGCUUAAUGGGUGCAAGUAAUCUCACAAGCCUAGUUGGUCGGUCGCUUUAGCACUACUUGGAAUGGAACAACAUUUGCAAUUUGUUAUUUAUCCUAUGUUCCAGAUGUUUUUUAAGGGGUCGGAGCACACUUAUAUCGGACAACGUAACUUGAUUUGUUUCGUUUAAUGUCAUUCUGGUUUUCCUUGAAAGAAAGGGAGAAGAAAAGCUUCACCUCCUGUGUUUAGGCAUUCAUCAUUCUUUUUCUUUUUCUUUUUUUCCUUUUUUUCUUUUUUUAGAUUAUUAUCACCUCAAAUGUUAAUUUUGACGUGAGAAUAUUUUAUUCUCGUUCUUCACUCCUAUUGUAUAACAACACUGGCAUUUUAUCCCGUGCAAUACCGUGAUACUUGAAAUAACAUCUUUAAGAAGUCAUGAAUAUUUACAUAUUUUAAGCAUGGAAGUUUGUAAAGUAUUGUCCAAUUGUAAUGGCAUUGUGGUACUCUACGCCAUCCCAUGAGCAGCAAUCUCCAUGUGACCCCAAUAAACCUUCGCAUAAACACAUUGAAAAUCUAUUUUGUAGGUUUUGAAACUUGGUUGAAUUCCAUCAAGGCAAAGCUCUCAUCUGGAUGGCAUGGUGGCUUGGCAAGUGAAGUGUGAAUCGAAAUAAGAAGGACAAAUGAGUAAGAAGUGCAUAGAGUAAAGACACCAUGAUCUCUGUUUUUGUUACCAAAGCCGGUCAAUAUAGGAAAAGGUUGGGCCUGACUGUGAUUUAUGUUUAGAGACAGUUUGGAAAAAGCUGUUUUUUGUCACCUUAGCAUUAAAGAUUCUACUACUAAUGUAAUUGCAGGAUUUUGUUGAAUAUUGUACUUAGCAUAAAAGAGAGAGACAUUCUUUCGGAAAUGUAAAAUGGGAGGGGCUAAAAGUUUGGUUUUUGUGGGGGAAUAGUGUUGGAGAAAUCUUCUUGAAGUGUUUUGAAGUUGACAAAACGUUUCCAUCAGUCUAGUCUGAAGGCUUGCAGACUCUGCUGUUUAAAGUCUGAAGACCUCCAGACAGCCAGACUCAAGACUCAAAGUCUAUCCUCAUUGACAGUCUCUAAUCCGUUGAAGAAAGGUUAUCCAGAACUGGAUGUUUCGUUAAGGUUUUAACCUUAUCAACUGGAGAAGAUCUCGUGGCUGGAAAAGACAUAACGGAGUCCUUUGAUUGAUCGAAGAUUGACUCGAUAAUUGAAGAUCCGGUGAUUGCCUAAAUAUUAUUGGAAGGUUCUACUUAUGGAAACCGAGAUCCUGAUUGUAUGGGCGAACAUGAUUGAUGGGCUAUCAACACGUUCCUUUAAUAGCUCGAACAAUCUUCCUAAUUGAUUCCGUCCAACGGGUAGAUUGGAGGAAUUUCUUUGGUAAGUGCCAACGGGUAUGAUGGCAUAAAGGAGUAUAUAAGGAAGACGGUCUUAGUUGUUCAAGGUGUGCGCGAUAGAAGAAUUCCAAAGUCUGAAGCUCCUUUUUGUUUAGACAAUUCCUUUGAGUGAAUACUUGUAUACAAAAGAGAGUCUAUAUUUGUGAGAAAUCUUGAGGAGGUGUGGUAGAACAUCUACACUGUGGAAUCAAGGCUAAACUGUGCUGUAACUUCUCUUUUGUUCAUAGUGGAAUCCAGCCAAUAGGCUGUCAGUGAAGAAGAGUGGACGUAGGCUUGAUAUAAGCCGAACCACUAUAAACCGCGUGUUCAAUUUUCUCUUCUCUCAGUCUUACUUUGAUUAUCGUUUGUCUCAAAUCCAUCAACUGUCUAGUAUUGUGCAAUUAUCGAAGAAAAAUCUUUUAUAUACCUAUUCACCCCCCUCUAGGUACUUAUACUAGCAAUAUCAAAUAGCGUAAUGUAGGUAGUGAAGGCGAAGUUAAAGCAAGAAGCAAUUCAAAAUGUAGCUGUUUAUCUAUUAAUCAUACUGAAUUUGUAAUGCAAUAUGUGUAUUGAGUAUAUCUCUUAUUGUCUUAGCUAAAAUUGUUAUGUAACUAGACGAGAGGAAAAGAACAACUUAAUUUAGAGUUCUUUCAUUGCAGAAUGUGUGGGGAGUAAAGCUGCAAUUUGAUUUCUAAUUACAGAGUGGGCUACAGGUAGAGUUAGUUUUUUACAUAGUAAAUAGUUGACAUUUCUAGUUAUGGUGGAAUUCUAUUAUUUUUUAAGUUUUGGUAAGGUGGAUAUACAAAUAAUAUUCUCUAAAACGCAAAUCAUUUUGUGAUUGUGGAUUUUAUGGUAUCUCUAGCUUUUUGAGGCUGCACUGUUCAUGUCACAUGUAUAUGGUAAUUUUUCUUUCCAUACAAUCAACACGACACUCUUUCAGCAUACUCAUGCCAAUUAGAAUUUGAUUUGUUGAUAAAUUACCUCAAAAUAAGAGAAAUUAUUUCACCUUCGAAAUUAAGUGAGUGCUUGCUUUAGAGAUUUGUCUAGUCAAAGAAAAAUUUAUGUUCUAUUUUUGCUAUGAUUUUCGUACUCUUUGUCUAAUGUCUCUCAACAAUGGCAAAUGAAAGGUCUGAAAGAUAACAAUUUUUUACCCUCUUCUAGUAUGGAAUCUUGAAAAGAUCUACAGACUCAACAUUUGUCAUAGAAUUUGUGUCCACCUCUUCCAUUUUACUCCACUUUUCCUCGUUGGCCCAUUAUAGAGCAGUUAGUAUCUUUUCAUUAGAUCAUCUACAAUCAUUGUUCCACACAUCACAUCAGUCUCGGCCUCAUCCCAGAUUGACAUCACUAUAGCUUUGUCUUGAAUCCACUCAUUACUACUCUCGUCUUUUUUGAAAUUCCUACUCGAAGCUAGACAUUUUCUUCACUAAUAGCAUGUGCGCAUUUUGGUACUUCACCUACCCGGUUAGCAUUGCAUGCAUAGGUGAGAUAUUCGCCAUCAACUGGAAAAUGAGGAUUUCAAGGUUUGGCAUUUCUCGACUUAGUUACUUGUAGAUAUCAAUGGUUCUUGCCAAUGUUCCGAAGAAUGUUUAGCUUCAUGAAGUUUAUAUUCUGAACACAAUCUCUCACUAACUCAACUAGAAACCCUUCAAACAGAAGCGCUACUCAAUGCAAAGCUUCGACUUUGCUCUUUGUUGGGCCUCCAAUCUAUCAACAACAGAUAUAUUUUGAACAUUGAUUUUCUCUCUUUAAAGCAAAAGAGAUCAAAAUUGACACUAUGUCUUUUCCUCUCCCUCCCUCCCUCCCGCCCUCCCUCAACCUUUCUUCAUCUCUUCCACUGAAGGGAGGGAUUUAACCUUGAUCUCUCCCUCCCCUCCUGGUUGUUUUUUUUUUUCCUUUUCCUUGCUCUCCCAAAUUUAGUUUUAGAUUUGAGAGCUUUGCUUUCCCAAUAUUAUAUCUGGGAGUUUUUUUCUUCGAUCUAAUUAUAGAUUUUGGAGUUUUAAUGAAUAAGUACUCCACCUCCACUUUCAAUGGUGUUCGCAACCGUUUUGGUGUCAAAUCUAUGCUUAUUUAAGUUAUGGCACUUCGCAUUGGCUACAAAAUUUGCUCUCACAAGUGUCAGAUCUGAUCUUCUUCAAUGUGUUUUGUUUUUAUACAGUGAUGGUGUUGGGGAUGAUGAAUCUAGGUGUACAUCAUCGAAUCUAGGUGCACGCCGUCGAAAGGCAAAGUUGUAACCAUAAAUGGAGAUCCUGGCAUGUGCUUAUUACUAAUGACAUUGUGUGAUUCUGUGAUUGACCACUGAUCCUUUUCGCUUGGAUGCAGUAACAGACCAUGAGCCUAUGAUUAUUUGUGCCAACCAUGCUCCAAUGAUAUGCAUUGAUUUCUAAUUUUUGGUUUGUUUUGGAAUUUUUUGAGCUUGUCUUGUUAUUAUGACUUUUGAGAUCUUCUAUUAUGUAUCAUUUUGAUAAUGAAUGAAAUUUUUUUUAAAAAAAAGCACAAGGGAUCCAUGUUUCGGAAUCAUAAAGUGAGGAAAAAGUAACUCGUAUGAAUAUCACUGGCCCUUGUCCUGUUACUUCUUUUGAAAAACACAAAUCCAUCUAGAAAAAAUGUGGACUUAACAACAGAGUCCUCAAUCUUGAUAAGCUCGUCCAUAAUCAAAGCCGACAGGUAUGAACCCUAAUGUCAAAUCUUGAUGCGCCCUUUUAGUAAAUGUCGUUAAUGAUCAAUCUAUUGACUUCUUCCUGAGAGAAUUGGGGGUGGGUCUCUCUCAAGUUUGAUUUUCUUUAUUCUGUGCAAAGAUGUGAAAAGAAUAUAAUAUGACCAUUAAGCCUAGCGGCAUAAUUCGAGCUCCGAUUUCCACUCUAUCUGCCCAAUUUUUCUUUCAACAUAUGCCCAAAUAUAUUUUAUUGUUGCCUAUAUAUAACUUUAUAAAGUUUUUCCAACAUAUGUCCAAAUUUUAUCUAUUUAUCACCAUGCUAGAUUUGUUCAACAAUAGUCUAAACGGCACGCUUCUUCAUGUUUGACAAAUACUGAGUGUUUGCCAGAUUUGAAUCCUAGGAAAAAUAAGCUUGAGGGCAUGAUUUUUUUUCAUAGUUAUACAGAUGGUUCGGCAUUGAGAAUGGUAGACCAUAGGACGAAUCGAUUGCGAAGGGUUUGGUCCUAGAUCUUUGGUCAAUUGUAGAAUGCUAGGGUAGUGAAUCUUGGUAACAAUCAAAAUGGUGAUCGCUUACCCUUUUGGCUAUUAGAUUUGACUAAGCUAUAAUUACUGGCUUGCAUUCCAGUAAGCUCAAUGGUCUAAUAGGAACUAAUUGUCAGGCCAAUUUAACUUCACGAAUUUGCAAAUCGCGGACCUUCCCAACAAUGGUUUCAAUGGCGAGCUACCAUCCAAGUUGUUACAGAUGAAUUUAUUGUUGAUCAAUAUGAGUUCAUGGAUAUUCUACAAAAAAUUUCUUCCGUGGGUUGGGAGAGGGUGACACAUGGAAUGAAACUUAUGAACAAUGGGACGGAAAGGGAAUACUCGAAAAUUCAAUAUGCCCUCACGGAAAUUGAUCUAUCCAAUAAGAAGUUCGAGAAAUGGAUAUCCGCACAAAUUUGGGACUUAAAGCCACUUCCUUCACAUGCUUCGCCUUUCAAACAAAAAUUUUCACCGGUCCGCAAAGCUGAUGACUGCGCUGGAAUCUCUACACCUUUCUUAAAACAUGCUCUCCGGAGAGAUCCCUCAAGAACUAACCUAGCUUCCGUUUCUUUCUUUUUGGGUAAGUAACUUAGCUUGCAUUCCUCAAAACAAAGCAAAGUGGAAGAGCACAUUCAUUGCAAGCCACAGUACCAAAUCAGAGAAAGAAUGGCAGCAAAGCCUAGAAGAAAACAUACCACUAAGGCUUAACAAAGGGAAAAAAAAAUAAGACAUCAGAGAACAAACAGAAAGCAAUAAUAAACUACAAAGUUCAAGAAUUAUUUGUUAUAAUAAGUCUCGAAUUUGAGCCCAUAAUUAUAGGAAAUUCCAAAAGUUGGAUUUCGUGGACGUCUAAUUUUGCGCUUCGGAAAUCAAGAUUUCUUGUUCGGUGAUAUCAAAUUGGAGUGGCACAAGAAAGAGAAAUACUACUUGCCUAUUUUGACUUGGCGUAGAAUUUUUUGACCAACUAGCACAAGACUUCCUCAGCCAGUGGAUAUAUAUUUAUAUAUCUAUAUAUACAUAUAUAUAUUAUAAAAUUAAUACCACGAAAUAUCUCAAAUUGAUACACUUCUAACAAAUUUAUCCUAAACUAAUUUUUUUGAUCAUAAAAAACUCUAAAACUAGUACAUUUGUAUCAAAUUUAUUCUCCAUUAGUUCCCAUUAAAUUUAAUUAAUACCACGAAGAUCACAUUACAUAUUAUGUUAAAGAUAGGGAUGACAUUGAAAAAAUGAAAAAUUUAAGAAUUACAUUAUAUAUUAAACUAAAGUUUAUGCUUUUAAUAUUUUUAGGGGGCGGGAGCGUAAUGAGAAUAUUUCCUAGAGAUUCGCGUUGGAGAAGCAAAACUAACAAGGAGGAUUUAUCAGAACGAAGAAUCUACCUGGAACAUCAUGUCGACAUAGCAUAGACAUAUAAGUACUCACGUCGGAGAGUUCCUAAAUUUCAUUACAUGCGGUGGUGCUGCAUGUCGAAGACUCAGUGACUCACGUAGUCAGCUUGUCCGAGUUGACUCUGACGUCGCCGGAGCCGGCCCCGCCCUCCUCUCGCCGAGCUCGCGCUCGUCACCUUUUCGUCUGCCAUUAACGUCGAGCUCGAGAACGCCGUCGCCGGGCGACGUCUCUGAAAUUAACCAUCCUCUGCAGAUUUUCCCGAGAAACGAGCGGAGGCGCGCUCUGGAUCGGCUUCAAAAUCCCUCCUUUCGCUGCGGCGGACACCUCGAAGCGGGGAGGCUCCAUUGCGACGCGCUCUCCGCAAGAAGACAGGAGUGAGCUGUGAGGGGGCGGGGAGGGAAAAGAAUUUACAAAGAGAGGCCUCGUUGUGUCCGCUGGAAGGGAUGAAGACCCUUUUGGAUUAUUACGUCAGUCGCUGCACAGUUGUUACCACUGCGAUGAUAUUGCUGCGGUCUCGCUCCUCGUCGCAGCGUCGGUUAGUACGCUCCUGGACUCGUAUUGGACUUCCAUUUCCGCCGCUGCAUCGGCCGCUUCGCCAAGCAUCAUUGAGCGAUCUGUCGAUAAGACGUUGGCGUUUCCCCUUCGGCGGCUCAGUGGCUCCGCGAGUCGCUCGCGAAAAAAUCGGUGAUGGAGGAUUGGGACCUCCGGUUGUCGCCUCCCGAGGUACGGGGUCUACGUUGCUAAUGUGAACUUUUCUGCUGAAUUCUGCUAGUUUGCUCUUCUUUGUCAUUCGCUGAUGGUUUAAUGUAGUAAUCUUUACGCAGUAUCUACAAAAAUGGAACGAGUGUGUUGUGCUGUUGCAUCUCACAUUGGUUGUGACAAUUUCUGUGUCUUUUUUUUUUCUUUUGAAGUCGGUUAUUUGAAGAUUUUUCAGAUUCGGUUUCCAUUGCAAGCUGUGAAUUUAUAUUAAUCCUUUACUACCCGUGCGUGUUUUGUUUCUCGUCAUGUGGCUUUGAGUUCGAGUGAUUAUUUUUCCCUGAAAACACAUGUAAUAUAGCUUAUCUGGCAGAUGAAGUCUCAGUAAUCUACGGUCUUCUGUGUUACUUGUCCACUGACCAAUUUUAAUAUUCUCUUUGGGGUCAUUGAGCAAUUCUAGUGUCGUACUUGUUCUAUUAAAAGAGAUCAACUAACCAGGAAUUUUUAUCCCUGUUGGUGGAUGCUGAAACUUUUGGCCUGAAAGGUGCGCGUAAGAUCAAUGAUUUUGAGAGAUUUUGUGUUGUUGCACAGAGAAUGCUGCGACACACGAUCGACUCAGGACCGUACGGGUUACUCUCUUGCUCAAGUAAAAAUGACAAAGCAGGGGUGUUACAGGAGCUAGAGAAGGGCGUGGAAGCAAAUUUUGCUGACUAUGAUAAGAGGACAGCUCUCCAUUUGGCAUCAUGCGAAGGUUGCACUGAGGUGGUUGUGCUACUCCUUGAGAGAGGAGCUGAUGUGAACUCCAUUGACCGUUGGGGUCGAACUGUAAGUUUUUCUUUCUUUCAUUUGGUACCUGAAAGAGUGCAUUUUCUGUUACUUAGCUGCAGAAGAUUUUUAUUACGACAGAAAUCAUAAGUUGCAUAUGAAGCUCUUAGUUGAGUAUCAAAAUGUAGCAGGCUUUUGUAAUCUCUUCAAGAAUAGCAUGGUUGGAUGUCAAUUAUUUUGCAACUAUCUAGAAUGCUUCUCACCUCUUUCAAUUAUUUUAGCCUGUUCACAUUUUCUGAAAGAUGCUCCUCAAUCUCAUAGAGAACUCCCGUCCUAUGAGGAGGACUGGAGUAUGUCAACUGCCUUUUAUCACCUAAACAAGCAUGAUUCUUAUCAACAUUUUUUACCUCGUGAUACUUUGUGACAUCCAGAUUUUCGGGUUCGGAUUUCGAUUAGAUAAAUUGAGCAUUUCAUCGACGCGACUAUAGUGUUUUUCUCUGAGUUGGCCACUCACGAGAUAACUAGACUAGCUAGGUAAGCUAUUAAGGACUUUAAGGCAUAUAGACUUGAGAAUUCGACUAGGAAUCGAUUUCUCGACCGUGCUCAUCUUUAGAGAUCAUUAUGACAUAGUUAAAAAUCGAAUUAAGAUCGGAGAUAUGUCGGUUCGACUGAAAUGAAUGACCGAUUGUGGGUGACUCCACUAAAUUGGAAAACUCUCGUUGACCGACACUAAUAUGAUUUUUCUGUCUUUUUGGUACCCUGUGUCCGUAUUUGAAUCUUCGAGAUUUUCACGACAAUCGAGAGUCGCCAAUGGGUUGAGUGGGUUCAUCAUGGCUCGAAGAAAAUCGACCACGGUUCAUUUGUCCUAAAAAGUUCUGAAAAUUACCCAGUAACCUAAGUCAUGCUAAAAACGCGUCGGAGUGAAAUUAACCGCCAAUCUGAAUCCGAUUUCAUAAAUUGGAGAUUCUGUCAUGUCACAGGUCAUUUUAGGAACGUCGAUUCAGUCUCAAACGAUUUUUCUGACAACCGAGACUUUUUGGGGAAAAGUCGUCGCCGAGUUGUUUUUGUGCAGAAAAUGUCGAAGAUGGGUUUUGAUGGCAAAAUUGAGAUGCAUGAUGGAUGCAUGGAUGAGGAAAAUAGCAAUUGAGCAUUGAGGUGGCAAUUGAUACUUGUUGAAGCCGAAUUGAGUGGAAUUGAGGACCGAUAGGAGACCAAUGGAGGGAAAACCUAUGUAAUUUCGUAUGCCCCGUGGGCAAGACUUAUGGACCAAUUCAAAUGGAUUCUAGAAGAAAUUUUGAAGCUGAAAAAGGGCAGUGGAGGCCAGCUAACUUGGUGGGCCAUGUGAGGAACAAAAGGGAUAAGAUUGAAGGGAAAUGGUCCCCCGAAAGAGAACCGGUCUUCCCCUCAUCCCUAUCUCCUUGCUUUCUCCCUCCUCUCUUCCCUUCGUGCGAUGCCUCCUGCUUCUCCUUUUCACCGAAUGCAGCUGCUUCUUCCUCCCAUCUCACUGCCACCUCCAUGGAAUUGGCUGUCCCACCUUCUUCGUGUCCUUACUUGAACGGCGCGAGAUCAAGGCCCCCAACCGAAGGCCCAUCAUGGACUCUUCUCCUGCAGUAACGAUCGGACGCCCGUUGCCCUUCUUUUCUUUUGGUUUUGUGCGUUGUCCAGCAACGAUCAAAGACCUCAGCGAAGCGGCCACACGUCCAAAGCAGCGUGUCUCCAUCUCCACGUCCGCCCGCCACUCCACCGAAACACCCAGCAGCAAACCGAAGUUCCUCUCCUCUGCCACUCAUCCAGCAUCGAGCGCCCACCAGUCAACCCCGUGUCUUCUCUGCCGGUUUGUUGACCAGCAGCAUCCACCGAGGACGCCAGCCAGCAGCUUCCUCCUUCGCCAAUGUCUUCUCUCUGUAGCUCACGUUUUCCUUCAGCCACGUCCCGCGAAGCAGCUUCGAAGCAGCCACGUCCCUCGGUCAAAGUCGUCCCCACUCGGACGGCCAUCCACCGAGUUCUCUCUUCUUUGCUUCUGCCGCGUGAAAUUCAGUCGACCAAAGUCCAGCUUCUUCAACUCCUUCGCUGCCUCUGUUGACCGGACUUGCUGCCCCGCACGAAGCCGAUGGAUCUCGGCUCAGCUCGCAAGAAGCCCGUGAUUUUCCAGCGGCCCAGCAAAUCCAGCGAAGUGGACGGUCCAUCGUCAACAGCAGCCCAUCUUCGGUCUUCAUUCAGCCCAUGGUUCGGCCCAUCUUCAACUGCAACAGCCCAAGUUUUCAGCUCACUUGAAGCCCCGUCACGGCAAGCUCAAGUGUUCGGCCCAAGAAGCUAGCGAAGCCCAGUGAAUUUCGGCCUAAGCCCAAGAAUGAGUUCAGCCCAAAGUCAAGAACAAAUCUUAGUUGGGCUGAGAUUUGUUGGGCUCAAGUUAAGGCCCAGUCCAAGCCCGCCAAUGUUGUCGAAAGCCCGAUUUCGGCCACCAUUGCGUCGCCGUCGCGGUGAUUCGAUCUCCGCUUUUUAUCGAGUGAGUUUUGCUCACUAAUGCCUUCUUAGUUUGCUAAUUAUACUUAAAUGUUGAUUAUAUUUAAUUAAGUGCAAUUAGGUGGUUAGAUUAAAGUAGAUUAGUGAUUAUUAGAUAAUUGUGAUGUAUGUUAGUCAAUUGGAUUGUGCAAUUAGCGAGUAGGCACGUAAUACUGUUUAUUGAAUGCUACUUGGGAUUUUUCCCGACCCUUAUCGGGUGUUAAUUAGGCAAUUCAGGCAUAAGUGGAAUUUUUAGGAAUUAAAUAUUAAUUUUCGAAAUUAAUUAUUUAAUUAUAUAUUUUCCGGAAAUUCAACUGGGAUGGCCAGUGACCGGGAUUUUAUGCUAAUGAUCGUGGUGUGCAGUCAGUUUAUUUAAUUGAGCUUUAUAUUGUGCUAAAUUGAAUUGAAUUUAUUUAUUUAUUUAAUUUUCGAAAUUAAUUAUUUAAUUAUUUAUUUCCCGGAAAUUCAACUGGGCUGGCCAGUGACCGAAAUUUUGUGCUGAUUGUCGUGGCGUAGUUCGUUUAUUUAAUUGGGCUUUAUUUUGUGCUGAAUUGAAUUAUUUGUGAAAUUUGGAAUUAUUCUUUAAUUGAAUAAUCUUUGGUUAUUAAUUAGAAAAUAACCGGGUGUCGGUUGACAGCACCAAAAGUGUUUUGGUGGACUAUAGAAAAUGUGGGAGUUAUGGAAAGGAAAAUAUUAUAUUUUGGCUAAAGCCAACCGUAUCCCCACACACGGCUAUUUUAUCCAGAAUGAUAAAAUAGGGAAUUGAGUGAAUGAUCAGAACAGUAUACCAUAUCAUUCUACGGGCUCUGAUAUGUCAUUUUAGUGAGAGCAGUAUACUGGUGUACUAUGUCAGCCUGCGGGCGAUAUGUCAGCUUAGCGCAAGCAGUACACUUUAUCAGCUUAGAGUGAGCAUGAAUGGUAUACUAUAUCAGUCUGCAGGCGAUAUGUCAGCUUAGUGAGAGCAGUAUACCGGUAUACUAUAUCAGCCUACGGGCGAUAUGUCAGCUUAGCGAGAGCAGUAUACCGUAACCCUAUCAGCUUAGUACGAGCUAUACUAUCUAUUUAUUAGCUUAGAGUGAGUAGUCCUGGACUAUGGUCGGACUUAUAGAUAGUAUUGAAAGUGCCGAUCAAGCAUGGGUCGUGAUGUCAUGUAAUCGACUAGGUCGAUUGAUCGAUGAUUUGAUCUGAGUGUGAUUUGAUGUGAUUCAUUGCCUUAAUCUGUUGUGUGAAUUGAUUGAUUGAAUGGAAAUGACCGUGAGUGGUCUUGUUGGUGUGUAAUCGACUAGGUCGAUUUGAUCGAUGCUUCGAUCGGUGAUGUGAUUGUCUGGGUGCCUAUUUGAUCUGCGCUAAUAUGCAGGUGGAAUCUGAGGCCAAGAUAAGUCAUUUGACUUAUGUUGUGCAUAAGCAACCCUAAGGUAUAUUAGUUUACUAAUCGGGUCUUAGGGGGUAGAACUUGCUAAGACGUGGUCUCAAUGGUUAUUGAAUAACCAUUUCAGGACCUUGAUGAGAAGCCUGAGGAGGAGGAAUCUCAAGAGGAGAACCCUACUGUGACAUCCUGAUUUUUCAAAUCUGAUUUCAAUUGAAUAAAUCGGGCAUUUCAUCGACGCGUCUAUAGUGUUAUUCUCUGAGCCAAUCACUCAAGAGAUAACUAGACUAUCUGAGAAAAUUAUUAAGAGAUUUUAACGCAAAAGGCUUGAGAAUUCAACCAGAAAUCGACUGCUUGACCGUGCUAAUUUGUAAGGGUCAUUACGGCAUAAUUAAAAAUCGAUCAAAGAUCAGGGAUAGGUCGAUUCGACUGAGAUAGGUGAUCAAAAUGUGAGUGAUUCCACCUGAUUGCAAAAUUCUCAUCAAUCAGUAUUAAAUUGAUUUUUUUAUCGUUUUAGGUACCUUGUGUCCGUAUUUGAAACCUUGAGAUUUUCACGACAAUCAAGAGUCGCCAAUGUGUCGAAGGUGUAUAUUAUGACUCGAGAUAAAUCGAUCAUGGGUCAAUUGCACCAAAAAUUUCUAAAAGUUACUCGAUAGACUAGGUCACGCUAAAAGCGCGCCGGAUUGAAAAUAACCGCGAAUUUGAACCCGAUUUCAGAAAUUGAAAGUUCUGUGGUGUCACAAGCUAUUUGAGUAACGUCGAUUCAUUCUUCGAAGAAUUUUCAGAGAUUCCGAGGUUUUUACGGAAUAUCGAUUCGGAUGUCGUGGAAAAAUAACAUAAAUUCGGAUUAGCCGAAUUGAAGAGAUUUUCGACUUGCAAACCGAGCUAUAUGACGAAGGAGACUUGUAGAAAUAUUGUGGGCUUUUUCUACAUCAAAAUGAGACAUCAAUUGGGAAAAUUUGAUGAAGAAUUGGAAGCCCGUCAAUUGAAGAAAUUCGGAAUGUGGCUUGGGGCUACAUUUUUGGCAUAAAAAAUUGGAUUAUUUGAGAAAAUUAUAUACUAGAAAGUAAUAGGAGAGGACCAAGGGAUAAGCUUUGUGGCUUUUGGGGGACCAAGCAUUAAUGAUAGAUAUUUGUUUGUCCCCCCCCCCCCCCCCCCCCAUCGGCAGCUUCUCGUGCACGAUUCCUCUCCUUCAUCUCCUUCGCACGGACGCCACACCACGAAGCAGCUGCUCUUGUUUUCUUUCCAUCUAUUCCUUCGACUGAGAACCUCUGCCGCACGACUUCCUUCACGAUUGCAGCCACGCACGUCUCCACUAUCAUUUCAUCCUCAUCACCCAUCCAUCUCCACCACCACAUCAUCACCAUCUAUCAUCAUCCCAUCUCCCACCAUCACCCCACGUCCGUAGCUCAUGCCUCAAGUCAACCAUUGAAGUUUAGUUGACUGAAGAAGCCCCACAACUCACUGAAGUCCAGCCACGAAAUCAAGUUGCCUCUCCACGCGUCCAAGUCCACCAGCUGAGUUCUCUUCGUUGACUCCAUCUGCCAAUUGCCGAUUGAAGCAGCUCACGGCAGAAGCUGCCACCGUCCGUGACUCACCACCACCGAAGUCCCUUUGCUCGAUUUCUUCAGCCCAUUAACGCCGUGGACUUCAUCCGCUCGAAGACUCCACCGCCAGCUGCUUCCCUGCUCCAUCUUUCGUUUGUGUCUUCGCCAGCGUCACCUUCAGCUCGACGCCAGCAAAGCCAGCAGCCCACUCCCAAGAUCGGCCCAGCAAAUCCGCGUGUCUUCACGGCCCAUCUUCAAGCCAGCAAGUCCCGAAGACCUGCAGCUCCGUUUCUGCUUCAGUUGGCAGCGCUCAGUCCAGUGGAUUUCACGGCCCAGCAGUUGGGCCCGUCCAAGAAACCAGAGAAGCCCAUUUUGUUCAACCCAACAAAGCCCAAGUGAUUCAAGCUCAGGCCCAAUUUCAUUGCAAGCUUAAGGCCCACUUGAAUUCAAGCCCAACUCAGCCUUUCCAAGCCCGCGAAGCAACUCAAGCCCAGUCCAAUUUCAAAAGCAAAUCUCAGAUUUGGGCUGAGAUUUGUUUGGCUAAGUUUAGGCUCGGCCCAAGUUUGUCGACGCCGCCGAAAAUUUCGAUUUCGGCCGCCAUCAAGUCGUCGUAGCGGUGAACCGGUUUUCGCAAUUAACCAGUGAGUUUAUACUCUAAACUCUGCUUAGUAGGCUAAUGACAUUUAAGGGGUGUUUAGAUUUAUUUUAUUAGGAACUAGGUGGUUAGUUAGAUUAAAUUAGAAAUGUAAUUAUUUAAUUGAGCAUGUUAGGUGGUUAGCAUGGUUUAGCUAAGGCCUAAAUAAAUUGUACUAUUUAUCUAGAAGGGUUCGGGAAUUUCGCCGAGUCCGUAUUAGUUAUUAAUUUAAUGAUUUUGGCCUAAGUUAGUAUUUGUAGAAUUUAAAUUGAUUUAUUUAAUUAAUUUCAGUAAUUAUUUAUUUAUUAAUUAUUUUUCCGGAAUUUAGGCCGGGAUAGUCGGUGAUCGGAAUUUCGUGUUGAUUGCAAUGGUUGGUUAAUUUCUGCAAUUGAGUGUUAAAUUAUGCAAAUUGAAUGCUGAUUGGAUUUUUGGUAUUUAAUUCCAAAAAUUGUGAAUUUCCAAUAUUUAUUCAGAAAAUCCUGGGUGUCGAGUUUGGACACCGAAAUUGGUUUUUAAUACUACAUGAAAUAGUGGGAUUUCAAAAAGGAAGAAUAUCAAUUUUUUUGAGGUCAAAUUGACUAUGUACCCACAUACGAGUAAUUUCAUGUGAAUUUCUAAUACGAAGAAAAAUGUCAGGUUUACCAUUUUAAUUGAAGCAUUUAAGUGUAAUGCACGGUGCCCUGGACCAUAUUUGAGUGAUCAUGUGAUGGUUAAGAGAAAUCGUCCCGGGCUGUUGAGCUGGACGUUAUCCCUAUUCGAGAUACCCACUGGACAACGGGAAGCCGGUCGUAGUAGAUUCUGGAUCCUAUGCUCCUUCGGGAAAGCCGUCUGCUAAAGAGACGUGCCGUGUUCAAUGGGGUGAGACGAUGCUUGGUAAUGCCAGAAGACCGCCGAACAUAGAGUAGGCCGUGCUAUAUGCCGAGAUCAAAACUAGGAACGCAUGAUUAAUUGAGUGUAGCGUUUCAGUUGUUGGAGCUUAUUGCUCAUGUUUUCAUGCUGUCUGAGUUAUAAAUUGUACUGACCUGCAGGGUGGAUCUGAGACGAGGUAAGUCUCAUUGAUUGUGUGACUGUGUGAUUAGGACACUUCUGGGCAUAUUUCCCUCCUAAUUGGGGUUUAGAGCUUAGACUCGCUGAGAUGAUAUCUCACCCCGUUGUGGGACAACAUUUUCAGGGUCGUCGAGCGGAGGACCUGGAGCUAUGAGGAGGUGAUCAAAAGCGUAGGUUAGUUAGGACAGCUUAUUUUUGGAAGGCUAGUCUUUUGUAGUCUUGUGGCCAUAGAAUUUUGUACAUGACUCAGUAUAUAUAUAAAAGCAUGUUUGUUUGUGCAUUUAUUGUCCUACUUUUCUAUCCCGAGAUGAUUACUGUCAGGAGAUUUCUUUUCGCUUCCGCAUGUGCAAUAAAAUGGAAAGAGUCCUGGGAAGUCGCAAAUUAUUAUCGACCAGAUAGGGAUGGGCACGCGCUCGAGGUUCGGGACGUGACACCUAAUGUGGAACCAGAUGAGGAGGAAGAUUUUGGAGAAGAAGAUGACCAUGAGGAGAAUUUUGAGUAUGAUCCGGAUGAGGACUGAGAUCCCAUCCAGUUUUGUCAGACCUUGAUUAUAUGUGGAUAAGUGUUAGAUCAGACUCCUGAGAAUAGUAUUGCAUUAUAUACUAUGAGGUACAUGUAAAAAGAUGUGGUUGAGAAUUUUCAGUAUGAAAAAUAUGGCCUGCUUUUCUAUCCCAUUGUUUUAUUGUCUGGGGAUUUAUAAUUGCUUCCGCAUGUGCCUAUAUAAAUGAAAGAGUCGGCGAUACAUAGUCCUGGGAUAUCGCAUUUUUAAAAUCGACCAAAAGUAAGGGAUGUGCGUGUGUCUGAGAAUCGGGGCGGUGACAUACUUAUCCAUAAAUAUGCAUUUUCUCAUUAUAAUUGGGUUUUCUAAGGAAGUGUUUGGAACAAUCAAUAGUACUUUUUUGGAGAAUUUACUUCUCCAAUUUGUUGUUUUCCUUAGCAGAGCUUUCGCUGAUGUCAGUAAGCUUGCAGCCAUUGUCAGAUGCCCGUAGCUUUGGUCACGGGGACAUUUCUACACUAUCAAUUAUUUCCAUGCAAAAAGUCCACCUUUUUCAGUGUUGAUAUUUGCUUAGGCUGUUCGUGUGAGUUGUUGACUUUGAUUUCAAGACCUCCAUCAUUUAAGGUUGAAGAAUUCUUUCCCUGACAACUCUUCUUUGGGAGAUUCUCCAUAUGAUGCUUCUCCUACUUCCAUUCAUUACAAAUAUUUAAACUUGGUAAAGAUCAGGACCUGGUAUCUUCCUCGCUAUAGGGUGAAGCCUUUCCUAAGGCAUUCCAUUCACAAGGGGAUAAACUCAAGGAAAGAACUUUGCGUAUCUUCUGCACAAAAGUAAACUUCAUAAAGGGAAUAAUUAGAGAUGUUCUAAGAUUGCCACUGUAUGAUCAAAACUUAGGAACCUGCUGGCUUGUCAAUUUGUAGAAUAUGUGUGUACUUCAGCCAACUCAUUGUUCGACAGUCUGCGGAUGCUUUGCAUAUAUGGUUUUACAUCCGUCAGUAACCUAGGGCACAUAAAUUUGGCAGUCCAGCCACAAUUUGGGCGGAGUGGAUAGUUUACAAUGUAUAUCUUUCAUCUUAUUGCUUGAAACAGGUCGGACUUGAUGCACAAAAUCCAUGCUAUGAGAUUGACUACAAUGAGAUUGACAUGGAGGGGGCUAUUCUAAUUGGAGAAGUAAGAAAUUGAUCGAUGUUUGUGGCCAACUUUUGUGAGUCCAAUCCUAAAAGAGACUGUCACUGCCUCGUCACCUUGGUGAACUAGAGAUUUCAUGAAAGUCUUUUAGAGUACUUCAUGUAAUCUAUGUAAUGCCUUGCAUUGACUUUACUUUGUUGGAUUCCAGGGAGUGUUUGGUGAAGUGUAUAUGGUGAAAUGGCGUGGUACAGAAGUUGCAGCAAAAACAAUACGUUCCUCCAUUGCCUCAAAUCCAAGAGUUAGGUUGGUUUACUCACGUGUUAAGUGAAAUUUCAUUCAAGAUGUGCUUGUUUUCUUGUUCAUUUCAUAAAAAGUUUUCUCCAGGAAAAAAAACAUCUCCCGUUACUGAAAGUUGAUGAGAGAAUCUGAAAAAUCUAGGAUACGAUAGUAAUGUUUGAUAGCCACACAGGUCUCUUCUGAUUAAUUAAUGUGUUGUUAAACUUUGUGCUUUUUACCUUAAUUGUGAACGGUGGAGUUGUAUCACAGGAGUGACUUCAUGAAGGCAUUGGCUCUUUGGCAGAAGCUGCGCCACCCUCAUAUUGUGCAGUUCCUUGGUGUUCUAAAGCAAUCUGAUCGUUUAAUCUUUCUCACUGAGUAUCUCCGCAAUGUGAGUCUUUACAUUUUAAUGGAGUUAACUGUAGUUUGGUUGUCUCGUUUUCCCAUUAUUGGUGUUGCUUCAGGGAAGCUUGUUUGAUAUACUGAGGAAGAGAGGAAGACUUGACCCACAGACUGCAGUUGCAUAUGCUUUGGAUAUUGCAAGGUAUAUAUUGUCGGUCCUUCUAUUCUGAAUGAUGAUGGUGAAGUGAUCUUUCUCCAAUUUAGCUGUCAUUUUGGAGGAAGUUUUUCUUUCAGCCAGCAAAAUUCUUCAAUGUUCUCCUUUUCUUAUCAUUUUUCAGCAUUUUGAUUUGAGUAGCCUUUCAAUGGUAUAAUUAUAGUUAUUUUUCUUUUUUGCAAUAGGUUUUACCUCGUGGAUCUGGUUAUGCUUGUGUUCAAUCCAAUCAACAGUUUCACUAUUUGUUUCCAGUGUCUUCCUUAGGUUCUUGAAUUGUGAUGGACUUUUAGCAUUUUCUUUUAAUUUUGGUUAGGUAGAGAUAGUUCCUCCCAAUGAAGAUAAAGUUAACGCCAGCUGAUAUUUUUGGCACCAUUAUGAAAUACUAACAUAACAAUUGAACAAGAACUGCAGUGAUGUUUGAAAAUUGAUAUGGGGAAUCAUGCUUGAAAUCCAUGGCUUCUGCUAUGAAAGCAUGUAUAGCUAUUCGUGUCUGGCUGAAUCUGUUAGUGGUUUACUAUUCACAUUAUGUGAUUCCAGUUCAGCUGAAUUCUCGCGAUUUAUACAGGAAUAUGAAUUAUCUCCAUCAACAUAAACCGCAUGCUAUAAUACACCAAGAUUUGAUGCCAAGGUAUUUUACUUCGAUUAAACUCUCUUUUGCAAUAUAAUUUGAGCAAGGAAAAGAAAGGGAAGAGGGGGGGGGGGUGUCUUACAAAAUAUGUUGCCACAGUGCAUGGGUGAGGGUGCCAGUGGUCUAGGUCUUCCCUCUCAUCAAAUGUGGGUUAAGAAAUGGGUUUAGUGAAUCAUGCUUGACUUUGUGAUUAGUGAUAUGGAGUAGCUGAAGUAGAGUCAAAGACGGAGUGAACUGUGAGUCGGUCAUCAUCUUAUCGAAUAAUGUGAUAUCAUUGUAUUCGGGUUUCUGUUCUUUUAUUUUUUAUUUUUUUGCCUGUGCUAAUUAUUGUAAUUGUUAAGGAAGAGAGUGUGUCUUACUUAUGCCGGGUGUUUUAAGAGUGCUUGCUGGUCCGUGGACGUGCAGAUAAAAGAGCCUAUGUUGUUCAUGAAGGAGAUGUUGGGGAAGGAGUGUACUUUAUCUGGGAGGGUGAGGUGAAUUUGCUUGCACCGCUUGUGUCCAUCCAUAGGAACGUGUUGUGGGGAUUGAUUGUCCUGCUUACUCUGUGCUAACAUAACAGGCUGAAGUCUCCAGACCGGUUGACUCAGAGGACCCUGAUUUCAAAUUGAGUAGAUAUGAUUAUUUUGGCCACGGUGAGAUGCUGAGUUUCUUCUCUCAUGUGUAUUGGGGAGUGUGAUUGCUUGUUGUGGUGUUUUUCAAUUCUAAUCUGCAUCACUGUAAUUGUGAUGUGUCCAUUAAUGUAACUGAUUGAUAGUAUAGGUUUUGAUCAUUUCUUUCUGGACUAUGGCUGAAGUAAUCUACAACUUCACUAAUUAAAGAAUUUGUUCUGGACAGCGACAUCUUUUUUUCCCUCUUGAAAUUUCAAGUUUAUUUGAUGCGCGCGCGCGCGUCUUCAUCUCUGCAUCUAUAUUUACUUGAUUAGAUAGGGACAUGAGAAUAAUGUUUUUUCAGACUAAGGUAUCAGGGAUAUGGUAUGAUGUGGGUUUAAAUCCAUCUAAUCUAUAUGUCCCUGUUAUUUGUCAACACUAGCUUUAGAAAGCCUGCUUUGGCUUCCUGAACUGUCUAUUUCAAUUUAUGAUCUUGACUAAAAUUUUGUUCUGCAUCAUGCAGAUAUAUCUCUUCAUCUCACUUCAAAGCUGAUUGUGGUAGCAUAUUUUAUGUUUAUUUGAAGGCAGCUAUGCUAAUCCUAAUCAGUAUGGGUACUUGAUAAUGCAGGCUGCAGCUGCUGCGUCGAAAACUGUUGACUAUCUAAAGGUUAUUCACAGUUUGCAUGUUUAUUUUCUUCUGAUUGGGGACCUUAUUAGUAAGUAUUCAUUGUACAUUCUUCAGUACCUGGUAGUGUAGUAUGCUCAUUGGCUGUUUCCUGUCCUUCUUCUUUUUCAUUGAACAUCUGUGUUCACAAAGUUUUUAUUGACUUUUUGCAUUUCUUUCUAAAAAUCUUGCAGCGGUAGUUAUGGUGUUACGGGUUUAUCUGGUCCUGUAACUGUCAGCUGCUAACAAAACUCCGUGGACCUUGUCAUAGUCUUAGAUCACCCUUUACUGCAAUUUUUGUUUUCAUUGAGUUGACAUGCUAGAAUAAAAAAUUGCUUUUGGGUUCCAUUUUACACUCUUACUGCAAUUCUAUGUCCGCUUGUCCACAGUGCAACAAUAUUUUUGGAAAUUAGAGAUCAGCAUUUUCUGCUCUUUUCUGGAGAUUUGUUCUGAGUCACUUUUGCCUCAUGCACAUUAAUUUAUGAUUGUUGUGCCAGUCUAUUUCUACUUGUGCACAGUGCAACAGCUGUCUGGAAAACAAGGAAAUUAGAGAAUAAGCAUUGUCUACUCUUUUUCUGAAAAAUUUGUUCCGAUUUGCUUUUGCAUCAUGCACAUUUAUCUUCAUUGCAGUGCCAAUUAUAUACGAAGUUCACCGACUACGUGAUGGUAAAAAUUUUGCAACCCGCAGAGUAGAUGCAAUCCAAAAAGGAACAAUCAUCUUCACAUUGGUUGCUUCAUUUCAGGUAGUGAUGUUAUCCGUUGGAUCGGCUAGAUAGUGUUUUAGUGAUGUUAUUGAAUUUCUUUCGCGAUUAGCUUGCUUGCGAUCUUGGUCGAGUUGGGUUCGCGUUAAUUCUUGUUUUUUCGGUUCCGGGAAGUCGCCGUGAUUCCUCGGCAUUCGUCCGCAAUGGAAGCAAUUCGACGUUUCGAGGAUGCGUGAGAUGUAGAAAUUUCGAGUGUGGUCAAGCGAAUGGGCAAGCUCGCGACCUAGAAGAGAUUCGUGGAUUUCUUCCUCCCUGUGUUCAAGAGAGUGACGCUGAGCUGAAUGUCGAUUAAGAGUUGAUUUGUCAUUUACAUUUCACAGAAAAAGGAGGUUUCAGUGUCAGUCUCGAUCAGUCUCGAUCCCUGACUUAAUUGUAUGCUUUAUCAUGAAGUCGUUUCAUUACUUGCGCUAGAGGAAAUUAGAACGAAAUCCAUAUGGGUAUCAUCCUAAGUUGAGAUAUAUCCUUGGAUGCUCUUUUUCUGAGUCUUUUUUUCUUUCAUUUGCAGGUCGCUUUCUACAUUGCUUUGCUCUCAAGUGCAUACCACAAUUAGGCGAAAUGCACGGAUGAAACUAAUCUUCCUUGCUUAAUUAUUCUACGUGGUGGUCUGCCGGUGCCUAGAGCGAUAGUCAAUUUUCAGUUUUUGUUGGCUUGUUUCGGAAGGUGUGGAAACGAUUAAAUUUUGUCUUUUUAGCCUAAAUUUGACAGUUCCUAGCCGAGGCACUGCCAUGGAAUGUAUUCAAAGUACGUCUCAAGUGGCAGCUGGAAAUAAACUCGCUCAAAUGCCUCUGAUACCUGGGCUUCCUGAUGACGUCGCUCUUUCCUGCUUGGCAAGACUUCCACCGAAGUUCCACAGAGUCUUGAAAUGCGUGUCUAAGCGAUGGAGAGAUGUAGUUUGUAGUCAUGAGUGGUAUUCUUACAGGAGAAAGCAUAAACUUGAUGAAGCAUGGAUCUACGCUUUGUGUAGAGACAAAUAUGACGUAGUUUCUGUUAUGUGUUAGACCCCAAUUCCUCGCGAAGAUGUUGGAAGCACAUUCAAGGCAUUCCCCCACAAAUUUCAAAGCGAAAAGGCAGGGGAUUUGAAACGCUGGGGAAGAAGAUUUACUUUUUGGGAGGUUGUGGUUGGGUUGAAGAGCCUACUGAUGAAGUGUACUGCUAUGAUGUUUCUGCCAACACAUGGAAUGAAACUACUUCAUUGUCAAUUGCGAGGUACAUGGUGAUAUUAAUGUUCUUAAUCUAUAAAAAUGGCCAUGCACUGUCUUUGCAUGUUGAAUCACUGCGGUUUUCUUUUUAUUUUCCUGGGCAUGGCGUUUCUUGCUAUCAUUUAGUUUAAUCUUCUUUGUAGGGCUUAGAUCUGAAUUUCUACUCGACGAAAGAUUGGCCUUUUUUCUCCUCAUUCAUCUAUAAGUGCAAAACUUUGCAGAUAACGAUGUUUUGGUAGAUUCUAGACACGUGUUAGGACAAUUCAUCUUCAUGAGGACACAUAUGAGAAUGUUAGGAAAAUAUGGCAGUAAAAGAACUUGAUAGACACAAUAGAGGAGGAAGUAGUAAGUAAAUAACCUCUGAAACUCUAUGCGGUAGGAGAGAACUUGUGAUCUCUAUGAUACAUUGUCACCCAUAAGGGAAUGAUAAUGAACCCUCAUGCUCUUGACUGGCGGUGGUGUUUCUUGCCUUCUACCAGUUGGGAAAUACAAGAACAAUAAAAGCUGGUGACUUGAUUGUCCGAUGGGAUUUUUUUGUAGACUGAACUUCCACAGGUCUCCUUUUUCUUUUCUCAUGCACUGAAGGUUAUAUAGCUUCUUAUCUGAUUCAGUUAAGCUCUUCAGGUGCUAUUUUGCUUGUGAAGUCUUGGAUGAGAAAAUUUAUGCAAUUGGGGGUUUAAGUACAAAUCUGAGUGGUCCCAAUUCUUGGGACACUUAUGAUCCCAGCACAAAUGGUUGGAUCUCUCAUGUGGACCCUAACCUCGUUCCUGACAUAGAAGAUUCUGUGGUAUUGGAUGGGCAAAUAUAUAUCCGAUGCGGUGGUUCUUCACUUUUGUCUCGUGUCUAUGCCAUCGUGUAUGAACCAUUGAGGGGCUCGUGGCAACAUGUGGAUGCUGACAUUGCGUCUGGCUGGAAAGGUCCAGCAGUCGUCAUAGAUGGGACUCUUUAUGUGUUGGAUCAAAGUUCAGGACUAAGGCUGAUGAAGUGGCAGAAGGAAAGCAAGGAUUGGGUGGUGGUUAAGAGAUUGUCACAGCUAUUAACUCAACCUCCUUGCCGACUUGUUGCAAUUGGCAAGAGAUUAUUUGUCAUAGGGAAGGGGCUUAGCACGCUGGUGUUCGAUGUGGACCAGAGUGAAAACGCAGGAAGAAUAAUGGUAGGAUCUUCCAUAUCCAAGUUGACUUCUGAUUAUG
rnacentral:lncRNA from 1 species